rnacentral:lncRNA from 1 species
CACAAUUUCAUAAUCAUUUGAAACAGAAAAAUACACUUCAAACAUAGUAUAAGUUUGAAUUCAAAAUCUCUUUAAAAAAUAUUCUUAUCAUUUCAUAUCAGUACGAUCUUAAAAGAAAGCUUUUAACAUUUAAAAACAUUUAAUAUAGAAAAACACUCAUAAACUUGGUUGCUUUGGAAACAAAUGGCUUUUGUACUUCCUCUUCUCAUAUAGUCCUUUUAGCACAACAACUUAACACUCACCUUUCUCUUCAGUCUUCCCGAGUAACACUCCCUCACAUUCUGAUUCCUUCCACUAUUUAUAUUAGUCCUUAAAUGGGUUAGUCACCCUUAAACUCUCAAUAACUUGUCGGUUCCUAUUCUUAGUGGUGCACGUGUAAGCACAAUGUUUAACUUAAUUAUCAUGCUUAGCUUAAACUCCUACAUGUGGCCCAUCAAGUAUCCUUAGGAAAUUUUCCAAAGUUUCCUUACUUUCUCUUCAUCUCGCAAUGAACUCCAAACAGCUAACUAGUCUUAAAGGCCAAAAGUCUUAUCGCGUUGUCCUGCUCCUUCACCCAACAUCAACUUUUCAUCAUAACCUUCCAUUCAAAACGCCUAUUCUUAAACACAUAGUCAAAUUUUAGCCUUUCAUAGGUACGGGUCGCACAAAUUCAUAGGAAAUGUGCUCGAGUGGAAGAAGAUAAACUUGAUGAGGUUUACCAUAAUGUGGAAGAAGUGACUCCUAUAACAAAAUCCUAGAGCCAGAUUGGUUGUGGUAGUUUGAUGAUGAUGAUGCCAGCGUUUGGCCUCAGAGACACAAACGAGGCUGUAGAGAACAUAACAAACAGGGCCGUUGGAUGUCAAUCCAUCUUCUUCAUAUAUGGAUGUCAGUCCAUCGCCUUCAUACAUGCAUGGACACAAAUGAGGUCAUGGAGAACAUAACGACUAUUUGUACUAUAAAGCACCUACAGAGGUAUCAAAAUUCACAAGAGAACCAAUAAGAACCAAAUAAUCAAAAGGAGUAAGAAUAACAUAGAGUUUAAAGUUGGCCAUGACAAACAACUCAAAAUCGACAACGUAUAAGUUGAAACACAUUAAUUUUCUUUUAAUUUUUAAAUGGAUGUAAAACAUUGAUACUAGUAUUUUAAUUUAUAUUUAAUUUUUUUCAUUUAUGAAUAAUUAAAAAAAAAGUUAAACAAUCAUGUUCUUUUUUUAAUUAUUAAAAAAUAUAAUUAUAAACUUUCAUUAAAUUUAAAAAAAUGGAAGAGAAUUGGGUAAAGAUUUAUUAAUUACAAAUUUUUAAAAAUAAGAAAAUUGAAAAACAUGGGUCAAGGUAAAAAAUAUGAUGUGUAGGUUGGGUUUUCAACCCAUCAUCUUUGUUGAAAAUUAAAAAAAGAUAAAUGGUGGGUAAGUUUAGUUAAGCCCAUAACAAAAAAAAAAAAAAAGUUGUGUAUAGGUGGUUGGGGUUAACCUACUUAACAACACUAGUACAAAUUUGGUUUUUAAUGAUACUUGAAAUAAAAAGAAAAUAGGUGGAAUUGAAUAAAAUGUAUCGUUAAAAAUAAAAAAUACAGAUUUUUUCUUGACACACAUUUUUGCGUUGUUAACUAAUGACAUAAUUUUUGUGUCAUUAAAAAAAAUUUCCUUAAUAAAAAGUGCACCUAUUUCCAAUAUUAUUGAAUUCCCCUUUUGUAGGUUCUCCCUCUCUCGCAAAAAUCCUAGCACAUGGUCAGCUGCGGUAAAUCUGGAACUCACGAAAACGCUUUCCUUGCGUCCAUCGUGGUCUAGUUUGUCGGUCAGUGUAAUUCUUCAAAAGAAAUCCUUCACAGUAAGACGGUAACUUUGAAAUGUAUGAUAGAAAAGAGAGUGUAUAAGUCACGAGUUGAACACAUGAAUAAAAAAGAGAGUGUAUAAUCAUGGGUUGCACAAAUCUUUAAAUAUUAUGUAAAUUAGCUGCCCCAAUAUAAUUUUUUUUAAAGAAAAAACAGCAUAUUCAUCCAAAUUUUCGUUAAUAAAAUGUCACAUCAUCAAUAAAUUUAUUUAUCAAGGGUAAACAUACAAGAGAGCAAUUUAAACAUAGUUUUUAAACCUCAAAUGACUCACUUUUAAGAACUCAAGGACAAAACAGACACACUCAAUAUAGACCAAGGGAGUGCAUAUUGUCCUCCUUGAUUUUAUUCACACCUUUUCUACUUUUGUUCCCCUCAUAAGACCUGAUGAUGCAGACCAUGAUGCUGUGGUUAGUAGACAAGAGUUUCUCAUGGGCUUAACAGUGUCCAUGUCUUGGUAGAUUGUACAUCUAGCACUUCAGCUUUACGUUUUUCUAGGGUAAGUUGAGUAGAUGUUCUUACUUGCUCUUCAUAUGUUAGAUUGAUUUUUCUUCCUUGAUCCGUAAUAGAAACGUCAUGUUCAAUGACAUUAAAAUACGUAUGUAUUUGGUCAGGUGGCGUUUUUAUAUUUGCAAAUGCAAACCUUCCCGCUGUCUCUAACGUAAAUGUGUCAAUAAAAGUGUCGUCGGUUGGGUUACUCAUCGUAACUAUAUCUUAUUGAUAUUUUGAAGCUGAUAAAAAUUUUAUAACUCUGCCUUAUGCUCUCCACCCAAAGUUGUAGCUUAAUAUUUAUAGAGUUAUGGGUUGAAGGAUAGACAUGACAGAAUUAGAAUUUGAUUCUUUGACUGUAUACUUUACAAAUUCUUUAACUUUGAUAUCUAUCUAAGAGUUCAAUAGUUAAACAUCUGGUCAGUGUGCUGUCUGGAUUAUAUAGAUAGCUCUGAAUCAAUUCCAUCUAGCUCAAAAUAUCCUUAGUUAUCUUAACUAAAGGAUGUAAGGGUUUGUCCAAUAAGUAUUUUUUUACUUCAAAAAAUCCUAUUGAACAUACAAACACAUACAUAAAUCAAACAAUUCGAUUCCAUUUGGAUCAAUUUUAGUUUUGCUUGUGUGGAUAUAUGCAAUCCUUAGUCGAAUGUGCAGAUAUUCCUCUUGGUAUUUUAUUUAGCAUGAAGUUUAGUCAAUAUAACCUAUGUUCUUUAUUUUGUAGUAGCACAUACUCAUCAAUAAAAAGAGAUAUACUAUAUGCUAACUAUGUGUCUGUAAUCAACAAAAGAUAAAAUAUUUGUAGAUGUAGAAUUGGGUAAUUAACAUGAAAUUAUACCAUGCUGUUCACAAAGAUUGUUCACACUUUUGUAGGAAACACAAUAGAAUAGAUUUCUAAAAUAUAAAAUAUUUAUAAAUACCUAAAUAAAUAGCACUUUAUUGGUAUGUUCUAAGAAAUAAUAAGACCUAUGUCAUCACAUUUUUUAAAUUGUAAAAAUAGCAAAUUUAAAAGUGAAUAGUCUUCUAAUAGCCUUUUGAUAACCCUCUAAUUGUCGUCUGAUAUAUUUAAUUACUUGUCAUAUUUGUCAUAUUUAUAAUAUAUAAAAAAUAGGUGCUAUGGACGACUCUUUUCUAAUUUUGUCUGUGUCUAUACGAUACAAUUUUUCUAUAAUUUAGUCAAUAAACUUUUAAAAAUAAGACUUUUUAUCCCUCUUGCUUUCAAAUUUGUAACAACUUAUUCUAAACAUUAACAACAAUUUAGUCCAUAUUGUUUGCCAUUUGUGACAAUUUAGUGUUAGUGUUAACUUUCAUUAUCUAAGAACAUAGUUUUUAUAGUUUGUAUAAAAAUUGAUUUUCAAUAAAUUUAUGAGUUUACACGUAGAUAUUUAUUUCAGUAAAUUUUAAUAGUAUUUGUAACCAUAAGGACCAAAUGGUUACAAGUUGUAAAGUAUAUAAAUAUUUAUAGUUACUUAUUGUUCAAAGAAAAAAUUACUACCAUUUUAUAAAAUAAAAUGAAUUGUUACCCCUACUAGAAAAUGAGUGUUAUUUUAAAAGAAGUUUUUUCAAACUCAAGUACCACUGGUCUUGAGGUAUAAAAAGAACGUUAGUUUUAAAAAUGUUUGAAAUGUUAGUUUGCGACUACAAGAAAGGUCAAGAAUAUUGACAUUUGAAAUUUAAGAAAUAUAAAAAAUAUCAUUAUUCGUGACAAUAACAAGUAUACUUUAUAUGGUGACAAUUGAAAAAAAAUGGUUGUUUCUAAAAAAGAUUGGAAAAAAGGGGUAUUUUCAAAACUAUUUAGGGAAAUUGAGUUUUUUUUUUUUUUUGUCAUUUUGUUGAAUGAGUUCCACUAACUAUAAAUUAUUAUUAUUAUUAUUAUUGUUUUAUUUUUAUUAUUAUUAUCGUAACUUCAUUCUUUAAUUCCAUUUUUAAUAUGUUUAACUCUCAUUUUUAUGUUUUAAUGAUUUUUUUAACUUUAUAAUUUUUUAUAUUGUAUAGAUUCAACUUUUUAAUAUUCAAUUUUGUUACAAAAAUAUUUAAUAAUUUUCAAUUCAUACAAAUUAGAAAUGAUUUGUUAUUAAAAAAAGAAAGAUAACAUGUGGUGGAAGGAUAAAUUGAGAUAGAAUAUAAAUCAAUAACAAACACAAAUUGAGAUAAGAUAUAAAUCAAUAAUAAAUUAAUUGUGCGUGAGUGUAUAUACAUGUGAUUAAAGAAUAAAAAGUAAAAUAUUUUUAUAAUUUUAUAAAAAUAAUUUUUUAAAUAAUAAUUUUUACAUAAAUUUUGUUAUUUUGUUAUUUUAAUAUUGUAAUAAUUAUAAUAAAGAUAAUAAUAAUAAUAAUAAUAAUAAUAUGAAUUAUAUAAAUUGACGGGGCUCACUGACUUUAUUUCCCCGUUUUCCGUAAAAAAAAAGAAAAUAACAUGGGAUGCGUCUCUUGAAGAGACACAUUCUAAUAAUGCCAAAACAACCACCCCUUUUACUAAAUAGUUUUGAACACCUCUUUUUCCUAAUUUUUUUAAAAAAUCAUCCCCACUUUUUAAAUCACCCCUUUAUAUGUGAAAAACGUGAAAAUGUUUUUAUACUUGAUACGAACUUGAAGUAUCCACAGUUGGUGCUCCUCACUUGUUAAUGACACUACGAUAAGAAAACCAAUAAAGAAUUUAUAAGCACAAGUAUGGUUGUUGGUUAACAAAUAGCCUUCUCCAGAAACUGUAUUAGUCAUUAUAAAGUGAUAAUUACAACGAUUGAGAAAAACAAAUAUCAUAGAAAACCAUAGCAAGCUCCGUCGAGAUACAGUCAAAAUAGUCAUGUAUCAUAUCAAAUAACUUGUACCCCACACCAUAAGUCACAUAUCAUAACCAUACCUGAUGUGGAAUCAUCUUGAUGCAUCCAGCUUUAAAACUGUGCACGCAGACCAUGCUCCCAAAAGCCUAUAACCACCCCCCCCACACGACCCAAAGCCUCUGUGUGCACGAUGAUGGAUCCAAAACACAUAUGUCACAUUCAAAUCGUAUACUGGACCUCCUCAAACCCCCCACAUAGAGAAUCGAGAGACCAUAGCUCAUGGUACAAUUAUAAAAACCAUAAAACAUGUGUUAGGACUAUAUUUUACGUAUUUUUUAGUGUUUAACUCUUCCCAUAUCACUCUAUUUAAUCACUAAGUUCACCAUUUUAUAGAAAAUAUUCAUCUACACAUCACAACAAACUUAACACAACAAAAAUCGCUCAAAAUCGGAGCUAAAACAAACAAGAAUAGGCCAAAAGAAGUGCAAAUGACAAUUUCAUAUAAUUUCGCUAAAAUAGAGCGCUACAGCGCUCCAACUGAUGGAAAGCAUACAAGUGCAGCGAAAUUAUGGAUCAAAAACUCUAUAUGCAUAAACUACCCUAAUUAUAAUGAAUUAGGGUUAAUCGAAAACGUACCUUUGAAGCUUUCUGAAAUCCUCUAUAUCUCUUCAUGAACUCAAAUCGGGACCACCGUUAGGGUUAACCUACUCAUCUCUGGACUUAAAAUCGGGUUGGGAGAGGAAUGGAAAAUUUGAGGAGAACUUUUGGUUUGAGAUUUAAUUGGGAGAGAAAAUUAGGUUGACAUAAUUUUUGUAAUUCAUAAAAAAAAAAAAAAAUUGCCAAAAAUUUUCGCCAAAUUAAAAAAUGUCCUUUAAAUAAGCUAAUUACAUGCCAAAUUGCAUGUAAUUAGUUUCUUAACUCUCAACACCUAAUAAUCCACUAAUAGUGGGCUAGGCGUUUACAUCUUAUAUAUAUUUCUUCUUUGCUCUUUCACCUCGUUCGAAGAUUAGGGAUUUUAAGAAAGAUUGGGGUUGUUGUAGGUAACGUACUCUUUUGUAUGCUAUAUGAAAAAUUUCUUCCACCCUGGUUUCACCUUGUUCAGUUCUUUGAUAUUCACUUGUUGGUUAACAGAAUAAAGAUGUUGGUUUCGUUGAAAAUCAACAGCAGAACAUUGUUGAUACUUGAUGCCACUGAUUUGCUACCACGUCUAGCAACAAGGAUAUAUAUGAAUAUUAAGUUUAGGAGGUAGUAGUAUAGACCUAAAUCCGCACCUAGUCUUUUUAUUUACGUUUGCCUUUUUCUGAACUAAGUUUAAUGUUGUAUUUGCAGAAUGUGUGUUUUUUAGUUUGCUGGACAUUCCUCUAUAUCAUGGUUGGAAAGUUGAUUCACCUGUUCUUAUAUAUUUUCUUUCUUCUCCUUACCUAUCAUAAGUUUAAUUAACAAUACUGUAUGGUUUCUUGUGCUCUAUGUUGGUUUUGUUGUCCCUAUUCUUGAGUUGUAGGCAUGUGGCUUGCUUUUAUCAGUGUCUUUUUUAACAAAUAACGAAAAUUUUCACUAAAGAAAUGAAAAGAGCCUAAAACGUAAAAGAUACAAACUCAAAAGGAACGAAAAGAAAUUAGAAAACAAAGUUUCAAAAGGAAGUCCAAAUGGAAGCAUGGAGGCAGGCCAAUAAAAGAGUUAGAAAUCACCAAGUAUUUGAGAAUGCAAAGGCAAGGAAAUGCUUGAUAAAACCUUAUGGAUGUUACAUUUUGGCAUCUCAAGAGAGAACCCUCUACAAAUUGAAAAUGCCGAGAAAUUUGCUUUUUAGCAAUUGGGUUUCUUGAGAAUGAUAUUUUUGGUUUUAAGCUUUCUCUUCCUAACAUUCCUAUAGGCCAUAACCAUGAACUAUAUACAAUAGACAACUAGUUUUAUUUACUUUUCAAACUUUAAUGACAAAUUGUUGAUGAUGUGGUUUCAAAUCAUCCAUAUCUCCAUUGGUUUUAAAUUAUUAGUAACUAUGUUUUUAAAAUUUCAUAUGGAAAUUGAGAGAAUAAAGUUGGUGCCAUUCGACAAAGAAGCCUACCCUCAGUCGCUACGUUCUAAAAUAUCAUCACCAAAGAAAUCUUUUGCUGACAUCAUAACCAUCAUAUAUAUGGUCUAGUUCUCGAGAGGAAUACAAUUUUGGUAUUGGUUUUUUCAUAAUAAGGUUAGCUUACUUUCUGUGUGACUUUGUUUCUGGUUAGAUUUUGUUUUCUACCUUCAUUUUGAUAGAUUUUGCCACCACAAAUAGAAAAAAUAACAAGGUUAGCUAACCAUGUUUUCUAUUUACUACUUUUUUUUUUGUUUUUUUUUUUUGUAAUGUGUUAGAAUUUUUGCUUUGAGAAGAGUUUACAAAAGAAUAAAAAUAUUCAUGAAAUAUUUUAGUCCGUUAGGACUAAGAUCUAUCCUACUUUUAAUCACUUCAUAAAUUUCAUGCAAUUUAAUUUUAUUGUCAGCAAAACCAAAACCCCAUUUGUAUUACUUUUUGUACAUCGAUUUAUCAUUGAAAAAUACUAUCGUAGGCUCCGUGUGAUUCGACUUUGGGCUUAUUGCUAUUGCAAUAUUAUUGUAGUAGUUAAAAGAGAUAAUCACGUGAGAAUGACAAAUUUUGAAUAACAAACUGAAAAAUACAGUGUAUUUUACCCUUUUAUAUGGGACAAUACAUUUUUUUAUGGAUACAAUGUAUUUGCAUAUGCAAAGAAUGGGUGAAAUAUCAUACAGUCACAAAUACAGUGUAUUUGUAAAGUAUAAUAAGUGUUGAAAAAUCUUAACUAAUUUAUGAUAUUUUUGGGAUUGACAAGAUUUUUCCAAUAUUUUCUAAAUAUAUGCCUAUAAUCCACAACAUAUUUUUAGAUUUUUAGUAUUUAAAUCAAAUUAAUUAAUAUUUAUUUAUUUAAUUCAUUAGACUUAUGUUUGAAUAAUGAUUUUCCCUGGAAUUGGCUAAGAGAAUUUCAACCGUUUCGCUGAUUCAUUAUAUUUCAUAAUAUUUUGAAUUCAAAUAUUAUAUCAUAUUUCUAAAACAAUUACAAACAUAAAAUCAACAUUUUUGUAUUAUCUAUAUUUUAAAUUAUUUUUAAAAAUUAUCAAAUAAUACAUGGUACAUAUAGUUAAUAAUAAAUUUUUUAAAAGAAUUAACAUCUCCUAUAAUCGUGUUAAUGAUGAUUAUCCAUUUAUUUUGGUUGAUUUUGUUUAAAAAACUUAUUUUAUUGUGCCAAUUGUGUCGAAUUCAAAUUUUAGAUAAUACCCCUAAAAUAAUAACAAAGAUAAAUUCACUAGGUUCGAUUCUUUAUUAAAUAAUAUACAAUAUAUGUUUUUAAUAACAAUUUGAAUUUAAAUUUUAUAUUAUCCCCUAACAUCCUAAAUUUAAAUUCAAAUCUUACCUAACAUUCCUAAAAUAAUGACAACUAUAUAAAUUCUUAAUAACAAUUAAAAUUUAAAUUGUUAUAAUUUAAAAAGAUAUAUUAAAAAGUAUUUAUAAAAAAUUUAUUAAAUAAUAUAUAAUAAAAACUUGAAUUAAAAUAUUUUAUCAUCCCCUAAAACCUAAAACUUUGCUAAUUUCCAUUGCCCACUUAUUUUGGUUGAUUUUUAUUUUAAACUUAUAUUCUUGUGCCAAAAAAUUAUACUAUAUAAUUGGCGUUUUUCACAUUGGAAUCACUAGUUACGUCUAGCAUGUAGGAAACGCUUUCCUCUGAUCUGAGUUCUUUGCAGAGUGGUUGGGCGAGAUCGUUCUGGAUGUCGGCGAGGACUACUCUGGCGCCGUGUUAAAUGAACAAUAUGGUGGAGGAUUUGCCAAAUUCACUUGACGACACCAGCGAUGGAAGCGACAUUGCCGUUUAAUUUGCAAAAGGAAAUGAAAUGAUGAAACAUGGGAUUUUGAUUAUUAGUUGAUGGAGAUCAUCAUCAGGGCGCAGGGGAAGGGUAAAUUUACCAUUAGGAAGAAAUACUGGAUUGGUCCAUGGUGGUAUGAUCUGAAGCAAAUGAAGAUUGUGAUUAGGGAUAUUUGAAUUAGAUUGGAAGAGUGAAUUUUUGGGUAUUUAUAUAAACUCAACUACCAUGAAUAUGAGCUUUCAGUUUUAAAAAAUAAUAUGGGUUAACAGAAAGAGCAAGUUGACCAUGUGUACCAUUGGAAGAAACUUUAUUGUUUCAAAAAAGACAAUUAUGAGAAGGAAGUGUGAAGAAGAAGAGAGAAGCAGAGAAUGAAGAGAAGGUAUGUUUUCUAGGUUGUACUUCAAUUCAUAAAAUGUACUAUAUUUAGUAAAUUCAUAUAACCUUGCUGAACAUGAUAAUACUAAAAGUGAACCAGAUAACAAGACGAAGAUGAAGAACAAGAUGAGACAAACGUGAAUGAAGAAUAUAGUUCAGGGACGAAAGAAACAAGUGAAACAAAUGAAGAAUCAAUAGAGAAUAUAAAGAGAGAAAAUGAUACGCCAAAGGGAAAGAAGGUAACGGUUUGUAGCAUCGGAUAAAUGUAAAAGUUAUAUGGAAUUUUGCUGCCAAUUUCCUUAAGAAAGAAAGGGCAAAAGAGGAUAGAAAACGGAAAUGGAAAGCACCAAUGACAAAAGAAAAAGGUGAGGUAUGUGUGAUAUAGUACUUAGUAUAUAUGAAUUAUGUAUACCUAAAAUACAAAGUAUGUGGUUGUUGUUUCAUAUAAAAUAUAUUGUAUUUUGUGUAAUUAUAUUGUAUUUGUGAAUAUUUGUUAUCUAUGAUCCCAUCCAUUCUGUAAUAUAUUGUAUCUAAUUGAUGUAAGUUACGUAUUUGUGUAUUAUGUUUGGAGUGUAAUGGGUUAUGGAGUCGGAUACUUGAAACUGUAGCUAACUUAUAGAUUUUGUUCGAUUGUUUUGUUGUUUGGUUUAACUGACUUAUAGUUUUACAUUGCUUUGUACUUCAAAUUAUUUGUGAAUAUCUAUUGUCUAUGACUCCAUGUGUUCUGAAAUGUGUUGAAUCUGAUUGUGGUGAAUUAUAGUGUAUUUGGGGACGAAACUUGAAACUCCAAAUGUUUCUGCAACUGAUAAAAGGUUUGAAGGGGACGAAAGAUUUCAAGAAUUUUUUUAGAUGGAAUCUACGGAAGCAGAAGUUAGGAAAUCUACAAUUUGUUUGGCUUUGAAGAGUUUCAAGGGUUUCAAGAAUGUUGUUCGGUGACCCUCUUUCCCUCAACCUUUGAAUACUUUAAGUGCUUGAGAAAGGUUUGAAAGAUGUGAAGAGAUUGAUAAUGUUUGAAUCCUUGGACAUUUGAAUGUGCCUGAACGCCCACAAUUUGAAGAAGAUAUGAAUUGUGUGUGGGGAGUUUGAUUUAAUUAUAGAGUAUUUGUGAUUUAUUAAAUAAUUGUAUUUAGGAUUCUAGUUUUUAACUUAGGUAUGCGCAGUUAAGACAUUGAUCCAGCAAUUUUUAUUCCAUAUUUUUUUAUUUUAUCAAUUUAAAUAAAAAUUUGUCAUUUAUCCAAAGUAAACAUUUUAUUUUGUUAUUCUUCUAUCAGUCCUAAUUAAUUUUUAUUGAGUUCGAUGAAUUAAAAAUUUUAUUUUAUUUGAAGAAAGUUUGUGGGCGACUACAAAUUUUUCUGAGUCAUUUUUGUACAAAUGUUUUGUUUUUAUUGAAGAUAUUUAAAAACAAUAUGGUCACGACAUAUUUAUAGUUGGUAUCAGUUUGUAAUUAAUUUGGAACCCUAAUACUAGGGUUGAUACAAAGUCGUAAAUUUUGAAAUUUGUCGUAGGAAAGGUAAUCCAUGAAAAUUGUUAUUUGUUGGAAGAAUUUUAGUUCAUUGAACCUUGUAUUCAAGACAUCAAAUUGUUGUAACACAGUUAAGGAUUAGGAAAGAUGUGUGAUAUUAUUUAGAAGUUUAAAGACUAAGUACAUUACAUAAAAUUGGAAAGAUGUGAGCAUGCUGAUCAAUUCUUUUGACCUCCACAAUCAAAGAAACAAUAACAAGCAUAGAUGGUUUGAGAAGGAUUAGUUGGAAUGCAUUGAUGUGAAAUAGUAUGAUGCUUUUCCCAACAUUUCUUUCCACAGUCAUUGAGAUUGCACCCAGUGUUAUACAAAACGUCUUGACAUCUUUGAGCAGCUGAGACGUCUUGAGACGCCAACAACAAUGCAACUAUAUAAAAAAACAUAAAAAGAUAAGUAUACAGCAAGGCAAAUUAGCAAUCCAAUAUGUACUAUAAUGGUUAUUUACUUUUGUAACACAUGAUAAUACAAUAAUUGUGGAGGAAAUUAAAGAAAAAGAACCUGCAAAAAUAAGAGCAAAACAUAUGAUACGGGAAGAAUCCAUAUUCUUAAGAUAUUCAAAUUUCCAAACUAUUGUUUUGUUAAGAAUUAGAGUGAUAGAAAUUCUAUGAUUUUCAAUGGUUUAAAUACACAAAGUUACAUUAAAUCUCUUAGAACUCAAGAACACGGAUGUUACAACCUAUAGAACAGAUCCUGUUCAAGUAAGGCCGUAAAAGUUGCAUUAAAUCCCAUCCAUGCAUUAAUCUGUUUCAUUUAUGUAAAAAUAGUGAACAUUUCUAUGAACUAAACAAAACACCAUGCAUGAAUUUGUUUUCAUUUAGGAAAAAUAGUAAUGAUUUUAACAACUUUCAUACAUUAUGUGAAUUAAAUGUCAACAGUUUCGUUUGUAAAGUUUUACUAUUUUAAAAUAUUGGUUGAUUUUUUAAACUCAGUUUUACAUGUGUAUUUGUAUGUAUUUUGGCUAAAAUAAUAUGAAACUUCUAAUUUUAUGAUGUUCCGUUCUAAAUUUUCAAGUACAAACCCGCAUUUUCCAACAUUUUAAAGAGAAAAUGUCUAACACUCCUAAAAAAAAUAGAAAUUUGAUGGACACUUCUAAACUUUUUUAUGUUAGUUAUUAUAUGAUUUCCAUAAUAUCAAGUGUGGUUAAUAUUUACUUGACAUAUUAAAAAUAUCAAAAGGAAUAUUCACUUUUAAUUGAUAUUUUUUAAGGGGCGUUUACAAAAUAACAAAAAAUUUAUGAUAAUAGACUCCAUGUCACUACAUUUUCUAAAUUGCAAAUAUAUAUAGUAAAUUUAAAAACUGACAACUCUCUGAUAGCCCUAUGAUAACACUCUGAUUGUCGUCUGAUAACUCUCUGAUAGCUCUCUGAUUGUCGUCUGUUACGAACAUUCAUGAAAGACUAACUUACUAUUAUUGGUCUAUAUCCAUGGACACAUAAAUAUAUCUACCGUGGCUAUAAGUUUUUAGUGGAGUGUACACAUAGUCAACGAAUAUUGAUUAAUGUGGUUAAUGAGUUUAACCAAUUAAUCUCACAUCAUUGUAGCUUGUGAUCUCUAGGUCCAUUAGGUCCUUUUCCUAAUUCGUUCAAAUAUUAAUUUAAUGUGAAUUGGAUUCAUAUUAAAAUGAUUGGUCAUGAGAGAAACUUACAUUUGACUAUGAUUUAAAUUUAAUUUAAGUUCAAUAUAAGAUAUUUAAUUUAGAUAUUAAUUAAUUAGAGAACUAAUUAAUAGUUUAGUUUAAUUUAAUUUAAUUCGAUUUAAUUAAAUUAAUUUAAAACUAUAACAUAUAUGAGAGAUAUUCAUUAAAUAUGCAUUAAAUGAAAUAUUAAUUAAAUAUGAUUUAAUUAAUUAUUGGUUGAUUCAUUAAUUAAUUAGUUGAUUUGAGAUUUCUACUAAUUUAAUAUUUGUUAAAUUAAUAAAAUUUUAUGAUUCUCUUUUGCUCCCUCAAGGAAAGGAAGUUAUAAAUAUGCAAAAGAAAAAAAAGUUUGUCUUAAUCAAUUAAGCCAAUGUUUUUGCUGUCUGCAAAAAUAAUUUAUCUUUAAAUUUUUUUUCAUCCCAGUUGGUUCUCUACAAAUCAAUCUCAUCUCAAGUGAUAGGAAGGUCUCCAACGGGUGGUGUUCCAAUUUGGAGUUUUAGUAGAUUCAGAGGUGACAAACUAAGUAAGAUCUUCUUUCUCAAAUCUAUAAUUAGAAAGAAUGCUUAGGCUUUAAGUUAUAAUAAAAAAAUUAGUUUCUAUAUUAUUUUGUCAAUGUGUUGGUAUUUUGAGAUCCCCAAAUUAAAUUGAAGAAUGAGUUUGUAAAAUCUUCCGCUGUCUAAGGCUUUUAUCUCUUCAGAGUGAAGCUCAGCGAAUAGAACAUGGUACACGAGGAGAUUCAACCAACCUCUUCAACGCGAGAAAGCAGAUUUUAGACAUUCAAGCCACUAGCAAACACAAGAGGUUGGCGAAAAUUUCAGAAAAGGACAAUUGGUCCAGGGCAUAGCUACAACUUUUUAGAAGCCUUAAUGAUGCAUGCCAAAAUGUCAGAGCCACUUCAUGUAUAUAAACAGAGUUUUCCUCUUAAGAAGAGUGAGCAACCAUUAGCCGGAAGAGCAAGUUCCCCAACUCAUCCAUCCAUUUCUUUUACCUUGACUUUUAGGUGAGAGCUUGAUGCUGGAGAGAGAGAUAUCCUUCAAUCUCAUUGUUUCCCCUCAUCUAUAGGCAAAAAGCAGAGCUAAGGUGCACGAGAAAUCAAACUCUGCAGUGUAACACAUCUGUUGUAGUUCCAUUUUAUCAUUUUUAUUUUGUGUUGUUUUGUAAAAAAAACUUCGUGGUUGAAAGACAUACAAUAUCAGUUAUGAAAGCAAUGUAUUUCUUGUUCCAUUCUCCUAUUUUCUUACCUCUUCUAUAUACUUGUAAUUGAUUGGCUAAAUAACAAUGAACAAAGUAGCCAAUACCACAAAAGUUAUAAUGAAUGUCGUAAGAGUUUUGUUUAGUUAAACGUAAGUAUCUUAGCCUUGCUCAUUCGAGAGAAGAGCAAAGGUAGAGACUAUAUUCAUAAAGAAGGUAAAAAUCGUAUUUAACUAAGCAUGUGGCAAGAAGAAUGCAACAAUGCAUUCUUGUUGUCAAACUCAUCCUGAUCUACAUACAUUACUUAGAGGUUAACGUGUGUGGCAGAAGCACUUAAAGGUGUGUUGUAAUUGAGGAUUAGUUAUUGUUACUUCAAUCUAAAUGAUUAGAUAACUGCAUCACUUAACUUGUGUAUUUGUAUCUCGAAAGGAGAGCAAGUAUGACUUUGCACUGAAGAGUUGCUCGCCUUAAUUCUUAGUUAAGAGAUGUUUGUAUUGCCUCAAGGUAUUAAGUCAUCGAUUGUAGCAUUUGGUAGUUCAAUUUUUCUUCCCCUGUUUAUAUUGAGUUCUUAUUUCAUCAUGUCAUAAUGUCAUGUUCACCUUGCGCCACCAAGCAUAGUAGUGUAAAUAGUUGAAGUAGCUAAUAUACUGUUCAUAUGAUUUAGUACACAAUUAGAUAAAUUAGGAGCUUAUAUUCCCUGAGUUCGACCCUGAACUACUCAGGAAAUCUCUCAUUGCUUCUACUGGGUUGAUAGAGAGGAAAGCUUGCGCGAUAGAGUUUAAAUGAUCAUUAGCAACGUAAGAAUAGGAAUGCAUCUUUCAUCGCAUGACCCUACUUCACCGCCCAUUAUAGUUGACAAAUUUAGAGCCUUUCAUGUUAACCUACGAUUGUGAAACUUGAGAGAAUUUAAUGCAUGAUUUAAAAUAAACAGUACCCCUUGCCGAGCCCUUUUGUACCAGUUGAUACGUGAGCCAACAUCUCUGUCACCGAGUCAGUUCUCCUAGACUUGUGUCAUUUUUUCCAUAUCUAAGUCGAGCCACUGUUUUUCCAAGCCAUUUGCUUUUGAGGCAUCUUUGAGACUUUUCUUUGAUGAGUUUUGAUUGAGUUUUAGGUAUGCCCAUCAGAUAUUGACUUUUGGUUAAAGUAGAUUUAUUUUUUUGAUUAAGUUCAAUUAUCUUAAAGUUUGAUUAUUUUUCCUUAGGUUCAUUUGGCUAAUUUUAGUUGGAGGUUUUGAGUUGUAAAUUUUUACCAGUCACGGUUGAAUUGGUUUCAACCUUUUUGUUGGUAUUCGAAACUCUAAAUAAAUAUUUGGUUGACAAAAUUAAUGAUUUAAUUUUGUCUAUGUUUAGGAUUGGGUUAUUGAAUUUUGACUGUCAGCCAAGAUUUGCUAAUCUCAAGGUAAGAGAUUCUACUACUGGACCGUCGAACAUAAAAUUAAAAGCUUCCAUGUAUUUUUCAUUAUGCAUUGAUGUAGCUAAGAUGCAUAAUGUGUUGAUGUUGAUGAAUGAUGUUGAUAACUGAUAUUGAUGACUGAUAUGGAUGAAUGAUAUGUUAUGGUGCAUGAUAUAUUAAUCACAUGAUAAGGAUGUUAUGAUUGAUAUUCAUGCCAUGUAAUGAUAUUUAUGAUAUACUACAUGCUAUGGACUGGUGUUCUGUUAACUUUGUCUAUUAGGAUUUUACUCAUGUGGAUGUCCUUUGGGAUCAUCACCUUCCACAAAUUUAUGAUUGUAUAAGUUCAACGGGACCACAAGUGCAUCAUGAUAUGUUUUAUGAGUAGUCCGACGAAGUCACUUAUAGCUCGAUUCUCUUAGGUGUUCCUUCGGGUUCACUGAUAGACCAGAUGUACAUCAUUAGAUUAUGUGUGUUCAGGAGCACGAUAUUUUUUGGGUACUUCCUUACGAAACUAUAAUCGGAAGUUAACAGACACCUAGCGAGACCAGUAAUAAAUAUAAAAAAAUAAAAACCAUACUUGACAUUUUAGAUGUUCCAUUAAAAAAAAUGUUUUAUCAAACACAAAAUUGAACGACCCAGGGAGAAUUACUAAAACAAAUACAUUACUGGACAACUAAAUUUACUUGUAGUAAAACAACAAAAUUUACUUGUAAUGACCACUAACAGGGUUAGCUGCAGCUAAAAUAAAAGUGUGAGCUGAUAGACUUUCUAUCAGUUCAGCUUUUGCAAUUGAUACACAUUGUUGUUCCAUGGGUUAAUUGAUCCAGUAGGGCCUGCAAUAAUCUAAUGUAAGAAAAUGUGCCAUGAAAAAGGAAACUAAGAAUUGAAGAGAGAAAUUCAGGUUUCAGUUCAAAACACCUGAUAUUCUGUAGACAUUUUAUCGAACUCAUCUGUACAGCAUAAUCCACCAUCUGCAAGUACCAUAGCCCUUGUGGAAAGUAUAAAUUAUCUGAUCACUCAAGGGUAAAACAAUAUAUUUAUUAUAAUGCAUUAGCAAAAUAGAAGCAUUUAAGCACCGUUAUUUUAAACAUUACACCAAUCCACAAAUUCUUUUUCUUUCACAAAAAGACAAUACAUGAUUUAAGUAAAAGGAGCAACUAGAUCGUAAAUAAAUAUUAUUUCCCGUUUCUUCAUUCUUGAGCAUAAAAAUUUAUGGCACUUUUUUCAAAACAAAGGCAAAGACACCAGUGGACCAAAGUAUUUUCUCCCAAACUUUAAUGGGCCUUAGAUGAGUAGAAGAAAAAAAAACCAAAGGAACUAACUGAAGAAUAUAAAAUACUACAAAUUUUCACAACCCUCCCCCCCACCCACACACAAUUUUUAAAAAAGAAUAAAAAUAAAAAACUUAAAUGAAGAAGGCAAUAUAUUAUGACCUGUGGUUUGGUAUAGAGGGUAGUGGAGAGAGUGGUCACGUUGGAGAUCUUGUGGAGUUUUGCGGGAUCGUAGUAGUCCAAGAUGAUGUACAGACUGAGGAGAUUUUUUAUAACGGAGAGAGGAUGUUUGUCAAGGAUGGGAGAGAGAGCGUCAUUGGCAACAACAAGGACAAUGAUAGUCUGACGGCUGUUUAUCUCGUUGGCAAGUCUGGUUUGUUGGAGAUAUAUAAUUAUUGAAAAUGUUGUACUGAGGGAAGUCUUUUAGCAUGUCGAUAAUAUUGUGGACGAAGACGAUGGCAGCAAUGGUGGUGAAGGCAAGGAAGAGGAGAAGAGAUUUGGAAGCUACCAUGGAAAAUAGAGAAAGAGAAGAGAGAAAGGAUGGGUUUGGGAGAAGAGGGAAAUCAGGGGAGGGGUCUGUGAGAGAAGAGGAAAAUCGGUGGAAGUCUGAAAAAAUAAAAAAGGAACAUUUGGGGCAGUAAGCAUAACGCCCAAAACCUAAAAAAAUCAUUUUUUUAAUUUUCUUUUUCUGCUUUUUUUCUUUUAUUUUUUAUAGCAUAAUACUAAAUAUGCUAUAGUUGGAUGCUAUUAAAAGGCAUAUUUGUUGUAGUGUUUUGAUAUUUAUCCUUUUCAUUACUAGCUUAGUUUAAUAGUUCAGUUUGUUACAAAAAUACACUGCAUGCAUAUCAUAAAAAGGCAAUCAUAACUAUGACUAAAUAUAACCCAACUUGAUUUUUGUUUUUGCUUGACUCUUUUGGUUAUGUUUAUUUUGAAAUCUAUUAAACCUUUUUUGAAGUUGCUUAACUAGAACUUUCGUAAACCUCAUUAGAUUAACAUGACUUAUCAUAUUUUGUGAAUGAUUUGUAAUGUUUCUUAUUUGACCAUUCAUGUUAAUGCAACUAUAAUUAUUGUUGUUAAAUAUUGAAAUUUUUUGUUCUUACAUUAUUGUCAUGAAAAUCAAUAGAGUCAAGAAAUUGAAUUAAAGGUAUAACAUAUGAAGAAAAAAUAUCAAUUAAAAGUUUGAAAAAAAAAAACUAAACUGAUUAACUAAACCUAGAAUUCAAAACCAGCACCUCAAACACAAACAUAAAAAAUCCAAAUUUUCAAAUCCUACACCCCAAACAAAGGCAUUGGUAGCUUCUAGACAUCGAAAUCCCAUCAAAUAAGCUCAUAGGUAUUUAGUUCCACGCAUUUGAUUACGUGCGUGUGUGCCAAACGUGCUAUAGGUGUUGCUAUAGGUGUUGGAUGAAAUGCUUGUAAGAAAUAUUAUUAUGACUUAUUUCGAGUUUUGUAAACAAACAUUUCUUUAAUCCAUAUUGGGUAGCGUGUUGAUCUUAGAAGUUCAAAGCUAUCGAAUCUCAUGUAUACACUUAUGGUCUUUGAAUUAUAAUUUGAAUCUCAAUUUUAAUUAUCUAAUUGUUGUUUCAAAAACUUUCUUUCUUAGUUAUUCUAAUUUUUGUUUUCUAAGAAAUCAACUAUUUGAGGUUUUGAUUCUUUAUUCUUGGUGAGAACUCAAAUCUCAAAACUCAAAACUCAAUUCUAUUCUCCACUUGACACAAAACAUCAUUAAAUACACUAUUUUUAGCACAGAUUUUCCUUUAAAAUCCUAGCCUAAAUUUGGCAAUUAAAAGACCAAAUAUACAUAGCUUCAAAACAACAUGACACAUACAAGGAAAAGACCAAACCCUUUAGUAGACAGACAACUGCGAACCAGGCUUCAAGAACAUGACCUCUAUUUGAAAAGUGGAAAACAGUUUUAAAAGUAUGAGUUAAACAUGCCUAGUGAAUGAAAGGUUUUAAAACAACAUUUCAUAAACAUUUAAAAACUAAUCAUAAAACGAUUUCAUAAAUACGUUAGCUUGGCAAACAUUUUAAAAAUUGGUACACAAGUACCGGUUUUUCCUCGUUAUAUUAAAAGAGGCUAUGUAGGGAGCAUUUUUACAUGCUCCUUUUACCCCUACAUUUUUCACAAAUUUCUGUAUUACCUUUCGUCGAGUGAAAUUCUAGGUAACUUAGUGCAUUUGAUGAUAAUGGGAUGUGACUCAUCAAGAUAGGUUGAAUCUAUUUUAGGUGGAGGUGUGUUAUAUUAGUACAUUGAUUGUUUCAAUGUAUAUGGGAGAUCAAUGUAUAAAUUUAUAAAAGAAAAACAAAAUAAAUAUAUGCACUUAUUUUUUAAAAAAAUAAUUUAAUUAAUAAGAUUCAAAAUUUAGAGCAAACAUUAAAAAGGAAAAAAAAUAAUUAAUGAAAGUAAUAAUUAAUACGCUAAACCCUUCAUUUCGAGUUUAGAAAAAUUAGAAUAAAAAUGAUUGCAUUAUAUAUAUUACAAUACUAGAAUAUUAACAUAUUAAUUCAAUAAUUUAAUUGUUAUAACAUUUUCUCUCUCGUUAAAUUAGAAAGAAGAUUUUUUUUUCCAAAGAGGAUAAUAUGAAAACUAAAAUAAAAAAUAUUACAUUAUCAAACCUCUAAUUCUUAUUAUAUAUUCAGAAACUACCAUUACAAAGGAACUAAUGGAAACUACAAGAUUACAUGUGCAUCGCACGUGUUGCUUGACUAGUACCUUUAAAUGCUUAGGAACGAAAAACAAUCACUCCACAAACCAACAUGCAUUCUUUCAACAUACUUUAUCAUCAUUCUCACAUAUCCUAGAAAAAUUUUCAUGCUGAGGUGACUCAACAUAGAAUUACUUCAAGCUAAGUACGCUUAACUUUGGAGUUUCUAUGAUCGAGCCACCGAAAAAAAAAGGUGCACCUUGUUAGUAUAAGUAGGAACUUUUAAUUCUUUUUAACCUUACUUUCAUGUUCUUAGGAUCCCUCACAUUCAUAUGUAAUACUGUUUCAUUCAUGUCUCCCUCUUAAACUCGAAGCCUUACGAAUAGAACAUAUUUAUAUCUGUUUAAAUUUUAAAUAUGUCUAAUUAUAAGUCUCUAAAGAAAAUUUAAAAAUUAAUUAAACUAAGGAUAUUUUUAAAUAUUGUAAAAUAAACAAAUUUAAAAAUUAAUUAAACUUAAGAUAUUGUCAAAUAUAGUAAAAUAAACUACAAUAUUUACAAAAUAGAAAAGUUUGGAUUCUAUCAAUUAUAGACACCGAUAAUCUUAUACUUUUGUCAAUUAAUGUCACUGAUUAAACAUUUCAGUGUCGGUCAUUGAUAGAAUUUAAAAUUUUGGUAUAUUUUAUAAAUAUUUUGUCAAAUUUAUCAUUUUUAUCAAAUCUCUAUUAAGGUAUUAACUUUAAAUUUAAAUUUUAUGUGGAAUAUGAAACUUUAACCCAUCAACUUUAUGUUAAAUAAAUUUAUAAAUUUUGAAAAAAAUAUAUCAACGUUGAUUGCUUAAAUUUAUAAUUUUUAAAAUUUUAGAGAUCAAAUUGAUACAAAAUUCAAUUUUCAUAAACCAAGUCGAUAAUUUUAACAUAAAAAAUACAUGAAUGAAAUUAGGGGUGAAAUCGGGUUGUGGGAGAUUCUCAACCCAACCCAUAUAUUCGGAUUAUUUGGGUUGACAACCUAAAUAACCCAAAUUUAGUUUCUAACCCAACCCAACCCAAUCUGUAAAAUAUGGGUUGGGUUGGGUUGGAUUGAGUUGUCGGGUUGUAUAUAUAAAUAUAUUUUUUUAAAAAAAUUUAUGUUUUCUAGUUUCUAAUAGUUAUAAAAGUAUGAAAUUGUUACAUUUAAAUUUCAAACAUACAUAAUUCAAACUUUCAUACAAUAAAUUCAAAAUUUGUAUAACUCUAAUUUGUUUUUUAUUAAAAUAAUAUAUUUAUUUAUUUAUAUACCAUAUUAAUUCGGGUUGGAUUGAACCAAAUUUUUCAACCCUCCAAUCUGAGAUCUAACCCAACCCAACCCGAAAAAAUAAAAAAAAAUUAACAUAACCCAACCCAACCUAUAUUUUAGCUUAACACAAUCCAACCCUUAUAAUAUGAGUUGGAUAGUUCGAAUUAUUUGGGUUCAACCCAUAUUUGUACACCUCUAAUGAAACUCAAAAUUACAUAUAAGGAAAGUUGGCGAGCACAUACGAACAAUAAUAAUUUCUGUAAAUUAAAUUUGGAAAGUUUUGUGUAUAUUGAAUUGAAAUGGAAAUUUUUGUUAAGGAAAGAAAACUUUAUGAAGAAGAUUUUGGUACAUUAUUUAACUACUUCAUAUGGAAAUUAGACAGAGAAGAAAGUGUGAGAGAUAUGAAUGGGAAUUUCCAUUUGAACUUGGAAAUACUUUUCACAAAUUGAAUAUGUGAACAAUUUUUUUCCUAAUUUUUUUUUUAAAAUAAUUACAUUUAUAAACAUUAAACACUACUUUUAUUCCAUUUUGAGAACUAAUUAAAAUUAUAGGUCACACUUGAUUUCGAUUUCGAAAUUUAUGAUGGUUUCUUCUAAAUUUUCUCAUUAUAAUUUUCACCUUUGUAAAAUAAAUCGUGCUUAAGGUUUCUAGUUAAUUUUUGAAAACAAAAACACGUUUUUCAAACCUUUUUUUUUUUACCUUCAAAACGUGAAUUGAUUCCUUGAAAUAUUAUAGGUAGAAAAUGUAAGUCAAAACAAUGAAAAUUUAUAGAAGGAAAAGUAAUAUUUAUAAACUUAAUUUCAAAAAAAAAAAAAGAAAAAAAAAGUCCCGUACCUUUUCAAUUAAAUAAAAAUAAAAACCAUAAUUGCUACCUUGGGCGUAAAACAUGUAAAAAUAUGAACAGCAAACCAAUAAAAGUAUCGUUAUCAAAUGAACUUAUAUGCUUGCAUGCAAUAAUGUACAUAAUUUUGUUAUCAAUUUAAUCACCUAGAAAUUCGAAUAAUGGACUAAUGGGAUUUGUGAAUAUUCAAAAUGAUGUGAAGUUAUUUGACGUCUUAAUAAACCUCCUUUUAACUUAAAUGGUUAUGCCAUAAACUAUCUUCCAGUUUGCAAUAGUUCAAUUAUGUUCUACUUUCCAGUAGUUGAACUCAGAAAUUAAUAAUUACAACAACUUGGUUCUAGUAUAAUCAAAUUGAAUUUCUUUGAUUUAUAGAAUAGUAAUAGUAUUAUCAUAUAUUUGUAAAAUAUUAAAAGAGAAAUAUAUAUAUAUAUAUAUCCUUAAGGCAUCCCUGGAUUAUAACAAUUAUUGAUACAUAAUAAUAUUAGAUAAAGAAAAUUUCUUUUGCCAUGCAUAAUUCCCUUCCUCUCUCAAUUGUUUUCCAUUUUUUGUUCGAUUAUCGUUGUUGACCGUGAAGCUAUUGAGAUGGAGGCGGGGGAGGAGAGUAAGAUGUCCUUGGGUUGAGUCCUGAUGGUGGAAUAGGUACGCGUCUUUGAUACAUUCCAAAACCAAAGGUGUUGUGAUGGAAGAAAUUUGAUGGAGGGGGUGGAGAAGAAUCUGAUGUCCUUUGACUUGGGCCAGAUGGUGGAAUAGGUAUCCCUUUUGGAUACAUUCCAAAAUCAAACUUCUUUUGUAAGAUAUUGAAGGGAGGAGGUGGAGAAGAGUCUGAUGUUCUUUGACUUGGCCCAGAUGGUGGAAUAAUGCCUUUUGAAUACACUUUGAAAAUGGAAUUUGAUGGUGGUGGAGGAGUGGGAUCGGACGUAGUCGGAUUCGAUCCAGUUGGAGGAAUAGGUCUAGCAUGUGUUUGGACAGCAAUAAGAUGAAACCCUAGGAGAACAAGGAACGAAGCUCCUAAAAUCAUUAUCGAACUUAUUGAUGCCAUUUUCUUGUGUUUUACUAUGUUCUAAUGCUUCCCUUUAUAUACCAAUCAUUUUUCUCCAAUUUAGUAUUUUUCUCAAUUUAUUGACCAUCAAUUUGUGAGAUUAUUUGUUUCCAUAUUUUGUUACUAACCCUUUAUGGUAGAAUCCAACCCCAUUUCUUUCCCUCCAACUCAACCAUGGUGACUAUGAAGUUGGAAUAUCAAAUUUUAGAAAGUUAUUAACUAUUUAACCAAUUUAGAUUUUAUUUAUGCUAACAACAAAAAUAGCAAAUUUUAAAGGUUGAUUUCAAAAAUAGCAAAAAAGUUUUUCAAUUAGUUAAAUAGAAAGUACUCGUAAUAUAAAAACACGAAUAUCCACGCACGGAUCUUUUCAAAUAAAAUAAAAAAUUGCAAAUUAUUUAUAUAAUCACAAAAUAUCACUCAAUUCCAAAAAUAAUUACACACAAUUUUGAGUAAAUAUUUAACGUUUUUUCAAAAAUAUAAAAAAGCAGCAGAAUAUUUACACUGUGUAGAACAACUUCGAAAAUGAAAAAAGUUCACAGGCACACAAUGAAAAAUAUCAAAAAUGCCCCAGUCAACAACAUGGAUAAAAUAUUUCGCACACGAUCGUUUAGAUUUCGCUAUUGUUUGGUACACAAUCAUUUAGAUUUGGCUGACCCAAAUCUAAACAAUUUUUUUUCAACAUUUUUUGGUACACGAUCGUUUAGAUUUGGCUACAUGAUCGUUUGGAUUUGGUUACACGAUCGUUUGAUUUGGCUAAACGAUUUUUUUCAAGAUUCUUUGGUACACAAUCGUCACUACAAGAAUCAUACGUCGGGAUAGAUGACGUCGUAGGAGAAGGGUUAUGCUGACGCGAUGGUAACGACAUCGACAAUAGAGAAAAUAACGACGCAGCACCAAUCAAUAUUAAAAAAUAUUAUUCUAACUUCUAACAACACCAUGCAAGCCCGUGUCGAUGUUUCCCCUCUAACGGCGACAUCCAUGGUCGAAAUGCAUCGGCAAACCUGUAAUAUAUUAUUAAAAUUUAGAAGCUAUGGCGACGCCUGAUAACUUGUAGAAAUACAAGUUAUUGCGGCCUCUUAAGUAAAAUAAUGAGAUUCAUCGUAUAAAAAGAGAAGAAUGCAUAAAGAAAACGUAGACAAUUUAAUUAAUAUGCGAAAGGUUUACCGCAAAAGAAUUUCAUCUCUGUUUUAUGAUGUUUCAACAAUUUUAUUGCAGGAUUUUCGACGAAGAAGAGCGAGGCUCGGCAAGCAAGAACAAUUGUACGCGAAGUAAUCCUACCAACCUCUUCAGCGCAAGGAAGCAAAUGUUAGGCGAUCAAGUCGCUAGCAAACAAAUGAGGUUGGCAAGAAUGUCAGAAAAGGACAAUUCAUAAAGGCUGUGCAGCAGAGCAACAACUUUUCAGAAGUCCUACUGUUGCGCGCCGGUAUGUCAGUGCCACAAACAGAGUGUCCCUUCUCAGAAGAGUGUGCACAAAUUGGCCGAAAAAGCAAGUUUCUUACAAUCCUCAUCUUCUCUCCAUCAUCUUAAGUCUAGGUGAGAGCCUAAGGCAUAAAGAGAAGGAGAGAUCCACAAAUUCCAUUACUCCCCCUUCCAUCUAAGCAUAAUUCAAGCUUGUGGUGUUAAUUCCUUACAACUUGCCACCUUGGAAAUGCAUGAAAGAGUCCAACUUCUUCAUGUCAUUUCUAAUACCCGUUCCAAGGUCUCUUGGUAGGAAAAUUGAUGUUUAUCUUCGACCAUUGAUUGAGGAAUUGAAAGAGUUAUAGAGUCUUGGUGUUCGUACGUAUGAUUCUCUUACCUCUCAUUUUUUUCAAUUGUAUGCAGCUUUUCUGUGGACGAUUAAUCACUUUUUGACGUAUGGUGACCUAUCUGAAGGGAGUACGAAAAGGUAUUAGGCAUGUUCUAUAUGCAUGGGAGAUAAAUUGUCAUUUGGAAUAAGAGGAAAGAUAGCUUACAUAGGACACCCACGUUAUCUUCCAUAUAAUCAUGUUUGGCGUAGAAGUAAGCUAUAUGAUGGAAGUGUAGAGUGUAGGUCUACUCAAGUUGUACCGAAUGGACAUGAUAUCUUGGAACAACUUAAUUUCCUAAAGUUUCUAGUGAUGAGUAAACAUCCAUCACUGAACGAUAAAAAAAAAAAAAAAAAAAAAAAAAGAGAGAGCUCUGAAUUCGACGAAGAAAAGUAUCUUUUUCAAACUCCCUAACUGACCAAGUCUGCUAUUACAUCAUAAGUUAGAUGUAAUGCAUAUUGAAAAGAAUGUUUAUGACAACUUGGUCGGUACACUGUUGAAUAUAGAAGAGAAAAUGAAGGAUACUACGAAUACUAGGUUGGACCUUCUGGAUUUGAAAAUCAAAAAAGAUUUAAUACCUGGUGGAAGUCAGUAACAGAUUGAUGAAACCAUAUGCAAGUUACACGUUUACUCGCAGCGAACGAGUUGCAUUUUAUAAGUACCUAAAAUCAAUUAAGUUUUCUGAUGGAUUUGUUUCUAAUAUUUCACGAUGUGUGAAUGACAAAGGUUGGAAGAUAUCAUGUCUUAAGACCCAUGACUGUCAUAUUUUGCUUCAUCGACUUCUACCUAUCGGUGUUCGAGCAUACUUAUCAAAGAAUGUGUACAACACUAUUAUGAAAUUGUGUAGUUUCUUUCGCAACAUGUGUGCAAGGACGAUAAGAAUAAGUGAUUUGGAUUGAUUGCAAGCAGAUAUCAUUAUCAUACUUUGCAAGUUGAAAAGAAUAUUUUCACCGGCAUUUUUCAGUGUAAUGGUAGACCUUGCUGUUCACUUACCAUAUGAAACAAAAGUCACUGCUCUGGUGCAUUAUAGUUAGAUGUAUCCCAUUGAGAGAAGUCUAUACACGCUGAAGUAGUAUGUCUGAAACAAAGCACGUACUGAGAGGUCUAUUGCUGAAGCAUAUGUGAUGAAUGAAUCAAGUACUUUUUGUUUGAGAUAUCUAAGUGGGAUUGAAACUCAAUUUUCUCGAGAUGAAUGAAAUGUAGCAUUCCUAAAGACGAGGUAGUUCAUCAGUUUGAAGUGUUCAUGUAAAAGGUAUGACCAUUAGGCGCGAGAAGUCCAUGAUCGUUAUCACAGAAAAGAGAAAUGCUAGAUACAUUGGUACAUCUUGAACAAUAAUGUAGAUGAAAUCACACAAUACUACAAGUAUAUCCUUUAUUUUUUGUUAGUUAAGUCAUAGUCAUCACAAAUACUCAUAACUAUGAACUUUAGAAAACAUUUGAGGUUGAUACAUCCUGAGGUAAACAACAAAGUCGAUUUCGAUUUCUUGAAAAGACAUCAACGAUCAUUUCCUGAUCAUUGUUGGCUCCAAAGUUAUGUUACACUGAUCAUUCUGCAAUCAGAUAUUUAAUGGAAAAAAAGGAUACCAAGUCACGAGUGAUCAUAUGAGUGUUAUUGCUUAAAGAGUUUGAUUUGGAGAUUAUAAACUGCAAGGGUAUCAAGAACCAAGUGGCGAAUCACUUAUCGCGUCUUAGUAACAAAAAGUUUCAAUCCGAGAAGAGAGAAAUUGAAUAUGGAUUUUCAUAUGAGCAACUCUUUCGAAUUGAAGUAAAAGAGCUCUAAUAUGAUAGUUGCAUCUGUAGACGCGAAUUCCAAGCAUUUUUGGGCUAUGAUUCUAGCAUAUCACUUAUCACGUCUUACCAACAAAAAGUUUCAAUGCGAGAAGAGAGAAAUUGAAGAUGGAUUUCCAGAUGAGCAACUAUUUUGCGUUGAAGUAAAAGAGCCCUGGUAUGAAAGCCUUGUUCGUAGUCACGAAUUCCAAGUUAUUGUAGCCUUUUAUGUAAAAUAAUGAAAUCUAAUCCUAUGAAGAUAGAAGAAAACAAAGGAAAAAGUAGGUGAUUUGAUUAACUUACGAAUAACAUGAUACGAAAGAGCCUUAUCCCUUUUUUUUAUGCAUUUUACUACUCUUACUGUAGGAUUUUUAGGCAAAAAAAGUGAAACUCGGUGAAAUAACGUCUAUGCAACAAGACACAUUCAACCAAUGCGAGAAUAAAGAAGCAAGCUAGGCAUUUAGAGUGCUAGCAAACAAAAUUGAUUGGCGUGAAAGUCAGAAAAAGGACGUAUGCGUGGCACCGAUGCAACUUUUCAGAAGAAUUAAUGACAUGUGGCUUUCUGUCUACAUCAACUCUCACCUAUAAAUUAUGUCUCUCACUUCAACAACGGUGUGCAAAAAUUUGAGCAAGUUCUAACAUCGUCCAUCUCCCUGCAUUUAAAUGACUUAUAUAUGGUCUCUGGUACUAGGUCAAUCAAACUCUCUCCUUCUAAAGUUAUUUUGAGAGCGAUUGUUUGAUCCAUAAUUGUUAGGACUAUUGAUUUUCUUAAUCACAUUGGAAAAUUGCUUUGUUAGCAUGACAAUCGACUCAUUUACUUGAUCUAGAAGUUUUUCCUUUAUCAAAAGAUUCAUCUCCAUGUAUAGAUUGAAAAGCACACUUUUUACCUUACUUUCUUCUAUGUCAGAUAAGGCAAUUUCAAACGUUCGUAGAGAUUUAAACAAUUCAUCAAGAGAAAGUGUAGUGACAUCAUGUGCCUCUUUAGUGGCGAUGACCUUCAUGUCAAAUCUUCUGGAAAGAGAACGUAAAACUUUCCUAACCAGUUUAGCCUCUGGAAUCCCUUCACCAAGAUUGAAUUAGUCAUUGGCAAUUUUCAAAACACGUACAUUAUAUUCAUUUAUAGUUUCUUCUUCCAUCAUUCUUAAUGAUUCGAACUUAGUUGUCAGCAAUGGAAGACGAGAGGUUUUUACUUUAGAGGUACCCUCAAAAGCUACUUCAAGUGCUUUCCAUGCAUCUUUUGCUAUAAUAUUGGAGUUGAUUAAUUUGAAUACGUUCAGAUCGACUCCAUUAUAUAUUGUGUUGAGUGCACGAGAAUUCCCUAGGGACUUUUGUUCUUCUACAUCCAUCCAAUCUUCUUCAGGUUUUGGAACAAGCUUACCAUCUACAGUAAUCAUCGAUAGUUUCCAUCAAACUUUAACUGCUUUCCAGGCAUUUGCAUCCAGUGACUUUAAAAAAGAAAUCAUACGAGUCUUCCAAUAAGAAUAACUUUUUUCAUCCAGUAUGGGUGGCCUUGUAGUUGAUCCACCUUCUCUUGAUGUCUCCAUUUAUAUCGAACUCACUCUGAUACCAAUUGAAACGUGAGAAGGUUAAAUGAUCUUUAGCUAUAUCAAAAGUAUUUAACUACAACUAUAACUAAAAUACAUAGAAGACAAGUAACACAAUGCACUUUGAUAACCCAAUUCGGCAAAUACAGCCUACAUUUGGAGAGCAUCUAGGUCAGAUAAGAAAUAUUAUUGAGAUUCAAUGUAUGUAACUUAUCACAAUGGUUACAUUAACAAUUUAUAACCAUAACUUAAAAGUAAUCUCAGGCUCCCCUGAAUGUAAUAAGAAUCUCUUAUAAGACUUGUCCAGGCUCCCUCUGACUUGGUGAAUUGAUCCAUCAAUUCAAUGAUCUUCACACAUAUUUCUUAUCUUCUCAUAUUUCACAUAGCAACCGUCAAUCUUCAAUAUAAAUUCAAAUGACAGACGGUAAACAUUAUACCUUCAACUUGCAUAACUUGAAUAGAAGAGUUCGUAUAUGAUGUAUCCGUCAACCAACAAAUCACCUAUCAACGCAUAUAUAUAUAUAUCCCCAAGUAUGUUAUGCGAAUAAAUUCUUCCAUUUUAAAAGGAAACAACCUCGUACUAAGAUUCUUAAAUAAUAGGAAAAAUAGGUAACUUAAUAGUACUGUUUUAUCUUUCAAUUAAAAAGAAUUCUUAGUAAAUAAGUUUAAAAUAUUUGACAAAAUAUCUUAACAGGCACUGUGAAGGAGAUUAAAUAGAAUACACAAGGGCAUAAGAGAAAAAGGAAAAAAAAGAUUUAUGGUAAACUUUCCAUAAAUAAUUUUUCCAUAAACACCCUAAGGGCCAGUCCUACAAGUUCUAACACAAUCCAAAGAAUUGCUCAUUAGUUUCAUGAUGCUAGAGUGCCUCUAAAUGCAUGCACUUAUUAUUGCUUUGAUGAUUGAGGCAAUAGGAAAAUGUGAUCCUGGAUUGAAACCACCAUCAUAACAUGAACUGAGGUGCCAUGUUUGAAAAAGGAAUUAAAAUGCACAAAUGAGUUGAUGAAGAGCUACAAGGAAAAAGCAGGCGAAUGUUAGAUGCACCAUUGUGGCUGAUCGAUGGACAGAUAGGAAAAAUAGGACAUUAAAUUAACUUUUUAGCUAUUAGUUGGUGUACCCAAAUGAUUUAGUAGGAAUAGGAUAUUAUGAUCAAAUCUUUAAUCUAUUAAUAUUAGGAUUAGUUUCUUUUCUUUAUUAGGGUUAGGAUUAGUUUCUUUAAUUUUAUUAAUUAGGAUUAGUUGCUAUAAAUAGAGUACUUGUCCUUUUGUAUUCACAACUUCAAAAAACAUUAAUAAAAUUCUCUCAAUUGAGUUACAUCAAUAGAUCUAAGGCACCAUGUUCAUUGAGUCUAUCAAUGCUUCAUCUUAUGUGAAGGAUGAAAGAAAAAUGUUUGGGUUGCUCGACAAUUUCAUAGAUCGGAUCGAAGAAGCCAAUGUCGUACAAGUUGUUACUGAUAGUACCUAAGCAAAGGUUAUGGCAGGUAAGAAACAAUGUAAGGUAUCAACUAUGUUUAGACAUUUAAGCUGGAAUAUGUUCUUAUUUUACUUUGUUAACAGGGAGAUUGUUAGAAGCAAAACAACCACAAUUAAUUUAGUCUUUGUGUAUAUCUCACUGUUUAGAUUUGAUGAUAGAUCAGGAUAUAUACAAGAUCUCACAUAUUCACAAAACAUUAAUAAAAGGCAUGAAUGUUAGCAUUUCAUUUAUGUUCGUCCGGGAUUAUGAACAUGAUGAGGUGGUUUAUUAAUCAAAAGGAGUUAAACUAUCUAAGACUUGAUUUGCUACAACUUGAAUAGCAUCAUCAAGAUUACAUCACCAGAAAAAUAAUUUGAGAAAGAUGUUACUUCGAACAAAUGAAAAAAUAGCAAAUGGAGAAAGAACAAGAAAAAUGGGUUGCUUAAACAACUUUAUUCCUGGGGACUAUUUGGACCGUCUUUAAUAAUUAGACAAAGAGACAAAAUAUCUCCAAGUAAACUUUAACUUUCAAAUCUUUGAUAACAUUUAAUAACAUUCAAAUUGAAAGUUACUAAUAUACUUUUGAUCUAUAGUCAAAUGGUGGAUGAACAAUCAACUCCCAACUUGUAAGAUCUCACUUGUAGUGCCACGAGAUGUGACGUAAUUAGAGCGUUUUUGUACAAAUUAGGUAUCUUCUAUUACUUGUAGUGCUUGUAGAUGUGGAUGUAAUUGAACUAAACAAUAAAAUCUUUGUUAUGUACUAUUGAAAGCAAUAAACAUGAAACCUAGGCUUACAUGGAAACCCGAGAAUCGAAAGAAAAACCAUGAUGUUUUUAGUUUUAUUAUUUUUCCGAUAAAUACAAAGGUACAAAUGAGGGAGCUUAAAUAAAAUGUAAAGAGCAAAGAAGAAAAGGAAAGAAAUAAUUAUGGUAAGUUUUCCAUAAAUGUUUUUUUCAUUUAUACAAAUUCUAAUAAUCCCCUCAAGUUGGGACGUAAAUAUCAAUGAGGCCCAACGUGCUAACACAAAAAUCAAAAUUUGGUCUAAGAAGCUCCUUGGUAAGAAUAUCAUCAACUUUUUGACUAAAAAGGAUGUACGAAAUGCAUAUGCUCCUACUGUGAAGUCUUUCUUGGAUGAAAUGUCGAUCAAUCUCAAUAUGUUUAGUUCUAUCAUGUUGAACCGGGUUGUUAGCAUUACUAAUAGCUGCUUUAUUAUUACAAAUGAGCUUUAAUGAAUUCACAUAUUCAUGAUGAAGAUCAUAUAGGACUUUCUGGAACCAAAUUUUCUCACACAUUCCCAAACUCAUAGCUUUGUAUUCGGCCUCAGCACUGCUCUUGGCCACAACACUUUGCUUUUUACUCCUCCAAGUUAGAUUGUCCCAAACAAAUGUACAAUAACCGAAGGUAGACUUUCUAUCAACAAUUAUGCCUAAUCCGAGUCAAUAUAUGCAUCAAUAGUUUUUCUGUCUAUUUUUCUAAACAUCGGCCCUUUACCAGAUGUUGUUUUCAAGUAUCUUGAAAUUUUGUUGACAGCUUCCAUGUGUUCUCAUAAGAAGCCUCCCUAAACUGGCUGACAACACUCACAACAAAGGAAAUAUCAAGACGAAUAUGGGAUAAGUAAAUCCAUUUACCCACGAGGCACUUAUAUUGUUUUUUAUCAACUGGAACAUGAUCAUUAAAGUUUUCAAGAUUACAAUUGAAUUCAAUAGAAGUAUCAGCAGGACGACAUCCCAACAUACCUGUCUCGGUUAACAAAUCAAUGGUGUAUUUUCUCUUAGACACAAAUGUCACCACGUGCUCGAGACGACGCGGAGCGGCCGACGCCCUCAAAAGAGUUUCUUUAUUUUUUUAUAACAAAAAGGGAGUCACCACCAAUCCUUUUUUAGGGUGUGAUUGGACACCCAAAAUAAGUAAAUAAGCUUUUUUUUUUUUUUUUAAAUGGUCUGCGAAAAAUAGAGUUGGGUUCAAGAGUCAUUUGUCUACGGGGAAGGUAUUAGCAUCCCGUAGCACCCGUUUAGAAAACGGUGGCCAAACUUAAAGUCUAUGUCUUAUUUCCUUGCUCAUCACUCUCAUAUUUGAAGUAAUUAUCCCAUAAAAUAAGUAGAAUAAUAUUCCAUUAAUUAGACUAUAUUGAGGAAAAUUCCCCACCUUAAGAAAAUGAGAAAUUAUUACAAUUUCUCAAAAUCUAUCAUAGGUUAGUCUUUGAAUAAGAUUUUUUGUUUUAAAACAUUCAUUAAAUUCUUUUUUUUUUUUUUUUGAUCAAAUCUUGGACUUCCAAAGAUGUGAUCCCGUCUUUGGAAGUCCAAGAUUUGAUCCCUCACCUUAAGAAUUCUAGGAAAUCGGACUCCUAAAUUUCCUAGAUUCCAUCAUAGGAUUUUUUUGGCGAAAUAGGAACGAGUUAUUAAAAAGGGUUGAUUAGAAAAAACUUAUGAAAUAUGGAUUUUUUUUUUAAAGAAAAUUUAAAUUGAUAGUUUUAAAAGUAAAUUUUUUUAAAUGGUCUAGAUUCCAUCGUAGGAUUUUUUUAAGGAAAACGGUAUAAGUUUUUAGAAAAUACUGGUUUAGGAAAUCUUAUAAAAUCAUAUGUUAAAUUUGGAAGGUUUUGGAAAAAAACAUAAAACAUUUAUAGCAUUAGAGACAAAUUUGCUAAAUGAUUUUUUUUUUUUAAAAAAAAAGUCUUUUAUUUAAAACAUAAAGAAUUUUAAAUUGGAAAGAUUUCAAAACAUUAAAAAAUUUAAAUACAAAGAGUUGCAUUUAAUUGCAUAUAACAAUAAUUAUGAUAUAGCCAUGUGAAUUGUAAAAGAAAGGAAACAUAAUAGCAAUAAAAAAAAUAAGGAAAGAAACGAAAAAAAAGAAUGAACAAAGAAAGAAAUAAUAAUAAGAAGGAUAAAUAGAAGAAGAAAAACAAGUAAAAAGAAGAACCCUAAUAGUAAUAUAAUAUAAUAAUAAAUGGUGAUGAUAAUAAUAAUAAUGAUAAAAUUUUCUCUAUGUUCUUUAUCUCUAUAUUUUAGAGAAAAAAUAAAUAUUAAGAGUUGAGAUUAAAAAGGGUAAUAAAAUACGAAUACAUUAAAAGAGCACAUUUGUCUUAUGUCAUUUUCUCUCUCCCUAUUUUUUUUAGAGAGAAGAAAAAGACUAAAGAUUUUUUUAAAAAAAAUGAUGAUAAAAGAAAAAAAAAUAAUACAAAAAAUACUAAAAUUUUCCUACAUUUUAUUUUCAUUCUCUUUAUCUUUUAAAGAGAGAAGAAAAGAAAAAUAAGAAUUCGAAUUCCAAAGAAAUUACUUGUUGUAUGAGAUGCGGAUCAUUGGGAUUAAAUCCCUACCAAAUGCAACCUCCAACUAAGUUCAGUUAACAAUGAGCUUUAAUUUGCUUAAGAUAAAAUUUAAAAAAAUAUACAGACAAUAUGGUAAUGAAAAGAAUAAUAGAAACGCACCUUUUGUAGAGUUUUUUUUGCAGAGAUUCACUCUAAAACUUUCUCUAAGCACUCUUUUUAAAAAGAUUUCUCUAAGAAACUCUCUAAAGAAUUUUUGUAAGAAAUUCUCCUCCAAAGAAUUCGUUGUUUAAGAAACUAUCUCCCCUUUCUUUUCAAAUGACAAGGGUCUCUAUUUAUAGACCCUGAGUGUACCACAAAUUAGGAAAAAAUAAUAAGAAUAAAAUCAAAUUUUGAUAUUAUAUUAAUAAAACAAAUUUUCAUUUUCCUAAAAUAAAUUAAAUGAGAUAUUUUGAGAUUUUGUGAAAAAUAAAUUAAUAUAUCAAAUGAAUAUUAAGAUACUUUUAUUUAAAAUUGAUUUUCUUUUUUCCUAAAAUGAUUUAAGUAAGUCAAAAUUGAUACUAGAAGAUUUUAUUUAAAACAAAUUCAUUUCUUUUUUUCUAAAAUAGUACAAAUAUAAUAUUAAAAGAUUUUAAAAAAACAAAUUGAUUUCUUUUUGUUUCCUAAAAUGAUAAAAAUGAAAUAUUAUAAGAUAUUAUGUUAUUAUUAGUUUUUUUAUCUUUUUUUAAAGUAAAUAAAUAAAUAAUUUAGCAACUAUUACUAAUAUUAAUAUUUAAAAAAAAGAUAUAUAUGUGUAGGAUAAAAAUAGGUGGCUACAACAAAAAUAACUUCUUUAGAUCUGGUCAUCUCCAUUCCAAGAAAAUAUUUCAGAUUUCUCAAAUCCAAACAAUGUCAUCCACAUGAACUAUUGGAACAGCAAUCUUCCCUCUCUUGGAAACCUUUGUAAAUAAAGUAUGAUCAAAGUGCCCUUGACUAUACCCUUGGGACUUGACAAAGAUAGUGAAUCUGUCAAACCAUGCUCUAGGAGACUGUUUCAGACCAUAUAGGCAUUUUUAAAGUUUACACACAUGCUGACCAAACUGGGCUUCAAAUCCAGGCGGGGCUCAUGUAGACUUCCUCCACAAGGUCUCCAUUCAAAAAAGCAUUAUUAACAUCCAACUAGUAUAGAGGACAAUCUUUGUUCACAACAACAGCUAGCAAGACUCUAACCGUAUUCAACUUAGCAACUGGAGAAAAAGUUUAUGGAUAGUCAAUACCAUAGGUUUGAGUAAAUCCCUUUGCAACUAACUUUGCCUUGUGUCUGUCAAGAGUACCAUCUGCUUUGUAUUUGAGAGAGAACACCCAUUUGCAUCCCACAAUUUUGUGUCCCUUGGGCAUAACACAAAUUUCCCAAGUUCUAUUCUUUUCAAGAGCUUUUAUUUCUUCCAUUACAGCAUUCCUUCAUUCAAGACACUCUAAAGCAAUGUAGAUAUUUUUCAGUAUUAUGGUAGAGUCAAGGCUUGGUGUAAAAGCUCUGAACUGUGGGGAGAGAUUAUCAUAGGAAACAUAGUUGCAAAUGAGAUAUUUAGUACAAGACCCAGUACCUUUUCUCAUAGCAAUGGGAAUGUCAAGAGAGUGAUCAUACUCAUCAAGUUUCUCUGUAUGACCCUGUUUAACCUUGUUCACCUUCAUUAUUACUAGUUUUUGUUCUAACUUCAAUCUCAUCACCACUAUUCUUUUCUUCCACAUUUUCAAGAACAGCAACAUCAAACAUGUCAUUCUCACUUAUCGUAUUAUUAAUACAAGGUUCAGUAGGAUUUUCCAUACCUUAAUCUUGAGGAGGUUCAGAGUCUUGGACUGGAGCCGGCGAUUGACUAAUAGAGGACCCAACUUCCUUUUUGAGAUUCCUUCUAUAAUAUGUUUUCCAAGGAACUUGGUUAGUGGGUAGGACUAUGGGAUGAGGAUUAAUGUCAAACACGAUACUAGGAGUAGGUUCGAUAAAUUCAAAGGUGUUAUUAGACUCUUCACCUAGACUCUCCCCCUAAAGAUGGCCAACGGGAAAGUAAGGUCGAUCCUCACAGAAAGUAACAUCCAUAGUGACAAAACAUUUCUUGGACUACAGGUAAAAACAUUUAUAACCACGCUGGUGAAGGGGAUACCCAACAUACACACAUUUGAUCUGAUUAGGGCCAACAUUAUGGACAUAAGCGGUACAAUCAAACACACGAAGAGGAACCUCAGAAACAAGACGAGUAGAGGGGUAGGACUCCUUAAGACAAAAUCUAAGGGAGUCUGAAGGUAGAGAAUAAAAUAAGGCAUUCUAUUGAUUAAAUAAGUUGCUGUAAGAAUAGCAUCUCCCCACAAGUAUGAAUGAAAGGAAGUAGAUAACAUAAGGGAACGGACUACUUCCAGAUGAUGACGAUUUUUUGCUGGACCACUCCAUUUUGCUGAGGAGUGUAGGCGCAUGAGUUUUGGUGAACAUUCCCCUUGGAGGCUAGAAAUUCACUAAGGUUACGGUUUUGGAAUUUUCGACCAUUAUCACUCACUCCGAAGAAUAGCAAUUUUUUUAUGGAAUUGUGUUUCAAUGGUGUGAUAGAAAUUUUGAAAAAUAGUGGAAACCUCAGAUUUAUCGGUGAUAAGGUUGACCUAGGUAAGACGGGUAUGAUCAUCAAUGAAAGUUACAAACCACCAUCUUCCAUAUGAGGUGGUGACCUUGGAGGGACCCCAAACAUCACUAUGGAUUAGGGUAAACAGUUGUGUGGAUUUAUAUGGUUGUGAGGGAAAAGACACUCGAUGUUGUUUUGCCCGAAUGCACACAUCACAAGAUAACAAGGAGACAUCGAUUUUAGGAAAAAGAUGAGAAAACAAAUAUUUCAUAUAAGUAAAGUUCAGGUGACCCAACCAAAAAUGCCACAAGUCAUGUUCAGAAGUGCUAAAAUAGGAAGACAGUAAACUAGUCCUAAAGAUGCUACUACUAGAGGUAUCAUCAAUGAUGUAAAGAGCAAAGAAGAAAAGGAUAAGAAAUAUUUAGGGUAAGUUUUCCAUAUAUACAAAUUUUAACAUGUACUUAUAGCUUCGUGGCAAGAAAAGGAAUAGACUUUCUCAAAGUCGACUAAACAAUUUAGUCUUCAUAAAAUAUAAUAGAGCACUAAAGUGUCAAUAUAAUAUUUAGGACAUUGUCGACCCCAUCUCUUUAAAAGAAAUCGACGCUAGUAAUGAAUGGUUGCUUGGAAGAAUGGAUGCAAUUCAAAUGAGGAGGAGGAUCUUGUUUUCGAUGACGAUUCUUUAACAUAGAGCAAUGUUUCUAAAGUUGCUAGAGCAAAUGAACCUGCCUAUUAUUCUAGAGAAGGUUCCUCAAGAACUAAGUCUAAAGACUAAGGCUUCAUGUUAAUCUUCAUCUUCCACACAACUACUGCCCCAACCCAUCCUCACACCAGUUAAUUUGGACGGAUGAAGAAGAUAUAGUUAUAAGUUGAAUAAAGAUGAAGACCUAUUUAGUGAAGAUGACUUCGAUCUUUUAGGAUUUUAGAAUUAUAUUUGUGAUUGUUUUUAUGCUGUUUCGCUUAACUUGUUGUUGAAUGACUAAUAUUUAAAUCUUAUAUAUCCUCUCUUUUGUACCAGUCUCAUUUAUAUCCAUCUAUCCAUCUAUGUUUUGGUUGUGUAAAGAAACAUGUGUAUGUGUAACUUGGAAAAAAACCGCCCACGCCUUUUUGUGUAACUUGCACCUACGCUUCUGAGGACCAUUGCGUCUUGGGCAUUUAGAGACAUUGCACACAAGAUUUUGAUUCUGAGAUAAAAAAGAGAAUACAUCUCACCAUCAGACUGAGGUCUGUCACUUUGAUGUUGUAAACAAAAAACAUAGAUCAUAAUCUCCACAACGCUAUAGAGAGGCUAUGCAUAUCAAUUUAUUUAGCAGUUUCCAUGUGACCCCAUUUCCCUAAUUCCAUGAACCAUGAAGAUUGAAGAUUUAAACCAGUUCUUUCUGAUAGGUGAGAGAAAAGCCAAACCCUCUAGGAAGAGUGUAAUUGAAACAUUUCUGUGGCGUCGUCCGUCAGUCUUGGCAAAUAGGUUUUUUCUUUUUUUUUUUGUAGAAAUCUUGGAGUGAGCAAAAUGGUCGCUGUUUCAAGAACUUUUCCUUACAUUACUUCAUGGAAUUGGUACUCUCUACUGUGUUUUUUUUUCUUUUUUUCUGGGGGGCGCAAAUUUAAACAACUUAUUGUCCAUUAAAGCUUUAUCAUAUUUAAUCUCCAAUUGAAGAGCACUGUUGAAAUCACCAAUAGGUGUUGGGGUUUUUACUCCCUCAUUUCAUCAAUUAAUGAAAUGGUUUCUUUUUCAAAAAAAAAAGAAAAAGAAAAAAAGAACCAAGGUAUAAUCGGGCAUAAGAACUCUACAAACACAGGAGAAAACAUAUUUGGUAAAUAACGAGAAAGACCAACCAAAAAGCUACAGUAAGAGGGAACGAGGAACAUGAUAACUAAUGAGUAAUUAUAUUACAUCAACAUACAAAAUCCAGUUACAACUCUAGUUUGAAAGAGAAGGAAAACUGUGUGCCCAACUAUCUUGGUAACCCAUUAUGCAAGCAUUUUUUUUCUAAUUUGAACAAUGAAAAUGGAUAACUAGAAAAGCUUUCUAACCGUGCUUUAUAAACUCAACGAGAUUCCCAAUCCUUCAACUUCUUGCUCCCUUUAGGUUUUGUAAUUGGUGCAUUCAUUCCAGCCAUUUUUGCAUUGUAUUUUGCCCGAAGAGGAUCGUUAUAGGUCCAACUGCAUGACAGUAACAACUGACGUUAGUCAACCAGCAGAAUAACUUCGACAUGAAAAACACACUACAAACAGUAGAAUGAAGGCAAAAAAACAAACAAAUAGAGAAGAUUGCAAAUAGGGCAUUGUUCUAAUCAUAUCUUUAUAUUCUCUUCUAGAAAUAUAAACAAACUAAAAGCCUCAAUAUUGAUAUUAAACUCAGGCUGCUCAACACGUCCAUACCUCAAGCUCAUACUAAAAAAAUUUCCAAUCAUUCUCUACUUAACAUGCACUCAAACAUAAGUAGACAAAGGAUCAGAAGCUUUUGUAAUAGAUCGUAUUGUACUUAAUCUAGAUAUAAACUCAAUUAAGAAACCAAAAUUGAUAUUGCAAUAAUUUACUAUAGGAAACUGAGAAGCAGAAAGCAGACGAAGUUAAAUCAACUUACGGGUUGUUCCAGUCGGUUGUAUCUUCAUUGACAAGAUGCGUCCAUUUUGUUCUCCCACUGCGCCCAAAAUGCUUGACCUGCAUAACCUUCGGCAAUAUUGUCUUGUCCAUUUUAUCUUCUCCAGUUGGGGAAGAGAAAUCACGAUGGAAAAUAUUAUCAGAUCCAGCAGUUCCAGCAUUAUCAUCAGCAUCUUCCUGGAAGAAUGCACCCUUGUGGUAAUAUUUCUGCAUAAACUUCCACUUCUGCUUAGGUGGUGGAGCAGGUUUCGGAUUCUUCCUCUCCCAUUCUCUCCUCUCUUCCUCGGUCAUAUUUCUCACCUUCUCAAUCUCCUCCCUCUCCUUCAACAUUGCAUCUCGAAGUUCUCUAUCCCUCUUGAUCCUAGCAAUCUCUCUAACCUUCCAAGCCUCAUAUUCUUCUGCUUCAUUUAUUUCAUCAUCAGUAUCUACAUCUGCAAUAUUGGCCUCCAUUUCCAAAUUCUUCUGGAUCUCUUCAUCCUUUCUAAUCUCCUCAACCACAAUGUGCUUUGUCUCUGCCUUCCUUUCCUCCAAUCUCCUUUUUCUCAAUUCUUCAAGAGACCUUUCCUCCUCUUCAAUACGCUCACGUUCAGCAAUAGUUUCUCUCUCUGAUUUAGGAACAAAGAUUGGCUUCACCAUUGCUAUACCAGUAGGUUCAUCUUCAGAGUCAGUUUCAUACUCAGACUCCUCUUCUUCCUCUUCCUCUGGCUCCUCCUCCUCUUCUUCUUCAGGAAAUGCAGCUUCUUCUAGCUCCCUUUGUCGCAACUUUUCCUUGAUUCUUCUUCUUCUUUCCUCCAAAGCAUCCUCAUCCUCUUCCUCUGCAUCUAAUCCCUCCUGCCUCCGAGUUUCCUCUUCAAUGGUUGAAACAAUCUCAGCUUGGCGAAUACGUCGAUGAUCAGCUCUAAUCUCCUCCCGAUUAUCUAUCCUACUCUCAGCCAGACGGCGCAACCUAGGGUCAUCCUUCCUAGAUAUAUCUGAAUCUUCCUGCCUAGGAAAUGCUUUCUCAAGAGCUGCUGCCCUGGCCAUCCUAAUAUCGCCAUCUUCAUCGGCAUCAUCCGCCCACUCGGGAGCCUUUCCAGGCCAGUACCUCUUAACUUUUGUUUGUCCAAUUUUACCUCUAAGUUUGUCUCUAACAGCAAUUACAGUAUCACUAACCCCCGCCGUGACCGACAUUGUUAAUCGGCUAAAUUUCCAGAAGCAAAAGAUACACCAAAAGAAAAAAAGAAUUUUCUCCUUUUCAACUUAAAAAUUCACAAUUCGAUGAAGCUAAACCUGAAACCCAAUAAUGAAAUAAGUGCAGAGUUAAACAUAGAGUCUCCAAGCUCCCUAUAUUAUGACAAUGUCGUUAAAAUCGUAUGAUUCGAAAGGAAAAUAAGGGAAAACGAUAGCACUCGUAGAAUUGGAUCGGAAAUUAGACGUACCGUACGAUUCAAAUUUAAUCGCACGAACCGUCAUGAAUCGCAACUUCGCGAUUCAAGAACCGAUAAAUCAGAAGGAAAAAAAAUUAAAAACCGUCAUAGCAUGGUGUUUAGGGGUUGCCGGUGUGCUAUUGGAGAUGAAAAUUAAUGAAAACUUCAUGGUGAGGACUUCUCGGAAGAAAGAAAAAGAAAGGGGAAGAUCAACAGGGUUCUUUAUCUCUUUUUUUGAGUACAAAAUGUAAAUUGAAAAGUUGUCCAAACAGUUAAAAUAAGCUUCAACACAAAUUAAGCAAAACCCUAUACAAUCACAACGAAAACUCAACCUCCCUUUGUGAUAAAGGAAAACUCGAAACAGGAACAGGGAUGAAAGCCCAUAGCAUUUCUCAAUUAAACGCGCGUUGGAAACCACAAAGAGGGCGAAGGAUAAAAAGUAUGGUGAAAUUUCAGGCGGAAAUAGUCUAAAGUUAGAAAUACCUUCAAAGUUUUGGUCUGAAGUUGAGUAUAAGGGAGUAUCAGAGUUGAAGAAAUCCGAUCCGAGCAACGAAGAAAAUGGUGGGAGGGAGAAAUGGCGGAGGCAAGUAAUGAAAGCAGUCCGGAUCCUCUGAAAUCGAUAAUUUGUGAGAUUUUUUAAGAAUCAGGUAAAGGGGUAGAGGAGAGGAAAGUAUUUUUCUAUUUUCGUUCUUCUUUUUUUUUUUACUUUUUUAUCGACCUAAACUGUAGUGUUGACAACGAGAGAAAAUUAUUUUGAAAUUUUUAGAACAUCUCAUUCUUUUCAACCUAAAACACAUUAUCAUUUCAUUUCCUCUCUAAACUCUUUAACCUUUUUAUUAGAAAAAUAAUUGGGUUGAAUAUAUGGACGAUCAUCCUCAAAACUUACCGAUAAAAAGAAUGGCUUGCUCCUUAGAUUAUAAAGAAAACUAUCAUUUUGUUCACGUCACUUCAAUGUCUAAUAUUAGUAACGUGUAAGGGAUGUUUUACUCAUCACGAAAAGAAGGCAGCCUUGUCAUGUUGUCUCAUGUAAGUGCACAAGUAAAGAGUUAGACUCUUUAGAGAUUUUAUGCCCAUAUGAAAUAGUUGUAGUUAGGUCGAGAAACAUUACUUCUAAGUUUAACAACCUUUACAAUCUGGAAUGAAUCUCUCCUACAUAUUUUGAACUCAUAUUACCAAUUAAGCAUGCAUCUAAACGGAAAAAACUAACAAAAUACAUGUAAAAAGGUAAUCCUCCAACUUAAAAAGUACUUAGUGUUGAUCGGUCAGAAGUCAACCAAAUUCCAUUAGUUCAAUAUUGUUCAUUCCAAAGUUACGAUAAAUGUGGUAAUCUUGAACGCAAUUGGCUUCAUGCAACCAAUCAUUAUCAACUACUAGAAAUAACGAAUGACAGAGAUAUAGAUAACAUAUUGUUACUUCUUUUACCAAGCAAUUUUUAUUGGUGAAUGUUACAUGUGUAUAUAUAUGAUUUGAAUUUUAAUAAAAUUAUGAUGCUUUUAAAAAUUUUAAGAGAGUUGCGAUAAAAAUAUUGUAGGAAGUGGACACCUACUAAGAUAAUUGAGGAAGUAGUGAGAAAAAAAGAAUAUUGGGAUAGACGUUUACAUCCGAAUAGGGUCAUGACUUUUUGUGAUGAGUGAGACGUCCUUAAUGCAAUAUCAAGUACCUAGCGGCUAACUGCUCUAGGAUAUAACCAAAAGAUUAGUUUUUUAGGAGUUUAUCAUUCUUCACUAACGUGUUUCGAGAGGGCCACAUGUACAAAAAUUCAAACGAAUAACCCUUAAACAUGGAUUUUGUCACUAUUUGUAAUGAUCUAGUUUUUGUACUUCUAGAUAUGUAAUGUCUUGUCCUCUAAAUCGCAAGGAUUAUUAUCAUUAAUGAUUUUUGUAUAUUAUCAUUUGUAAUAAUUUAGUCCCAUUAGAAAAAUGUUAUAAAAUUUAAUGGAACUUUUUACACAAAUUAAUACACUCGCUAUGACCAAUUUUGUUUAAAUUUAAAAACAAAAAAAAUCAAUUGAGUUGUUUGUAUAACACGGCAUUUAGGUUUGAAAUGAUAUUUCACAGCAAGGACUACACGAUACGAUGCUAUAUGUAAUUAAAAUUGUUAAUUGCACACAUGUUGUGUAAAAAAAGAAAAUCAUGUUUGAUAACUAUUUUUGUUUUCAUUUUACUUUAUUUUAAAGAAAAUAAAAACAAUAACCAUAUUUUCGUUCUUUAUAUAUAUAUAUAUAAACAAACGGAAGCAAUUAUUCUUAAUCGACAUUUUUGUCUACUACCAUAACUUAAAAUGUUUUGAUUGCUUCCGUUGGUUGAUUUUGUUAACAUGUCAAAGACAUUGGCAACAACAUUGAGACCGUCAAGCAACAACUUUAGCAAAAGAUUAUUUCCAUAUACAAUUGCAUUGAUUAGUAGAUUCCGUAGAUUUAUAUCUUCAACAGUUUUUUCUUUCCUUUUUCUCAUGUAAGAAAUAUUUGUUUUCUCCUAAAUUAAUAUUCUCUAGGUUAGUUAUAUAUUUGUUACUCUUUUCAGUUUUGGGGUUAAUCGUCUCAUUAGAAAAGUGUGUGCAUUGAACGUUUUUAACUUAAAGUUUGUCUAUGUCUCAACCUUCAUAUUUUGAUAUUGAAAACCCUUGUAUUUGUUAUGUUGGAACUUUUGGUUAUGUAGCCAUUAUAGAAUUUAGAAAGAAUUCGAUAUUGAUGUUGUAUUUAGGGAGAGCCUAAAUAUAUAUAGUGAAUGUGAGGUUAGGGGAAGCCUAAGCACACUCUAUUGAAAGAUCUCACAUAAAGCUUUGAAGAAGCAUUUUGUGGGAAAGAGGGGAGCUAAACUUAGAAGGACCUUAAGUUGAAACGUUAGAGAGCAAGCUAUACGGAAGUCACUAAAAAUGGAUUUUAUCAUAUAAGUACUUCUGUAAUAAUUGCUAAACUCUAUAAUAGUGAAGUUUCAUUUGAAUAGGCACGUUGUCCCGCAAACGUAGGUGAUUUUGUACCGAACUAGGUUACUAAUCUAUGCGUCAUUACUUUUUAUGUUUGCUUUUAUAACAACCCCUUGUCAGAUAUAUUGUCUGUAAUAUCGUACUUAACAUAAUGUCUUUUGGAUCCAUCUAUUUUUUCCAUUUUAAAUGUUUGAAAGUAAUAUCAAUCAAAUAGAUAAAUAAUCAAAAUUUUGUGUCUAAAAAAUGUAAAUAUAUUAAGAAGAUGUAAACAGAUAUUGAUAUUGAUAAAAAAAAAAUGUCUUUUACUUUAAUUUGGUUAAAAUCUACUACGCUCUUGAUUUGAAAAAAUUAUAUUUGUUUUUCAAAUUAAUUUAUUCAUUAGAUAAUAACUAGUAAAGAUUGAAUCUGCUUUUAAACAAAUUUUAUUUUAAGUUUCAAUAUCAACGAGAAAUUCACUUGUCUUUGGGAAAAAGAAAAACAUAUUCGAGCUAAAAUUUAUUUGAUUAAUUGAUUAAAAUGAUAUCUCGUCGUUGCACUAACUAAAAAUAAGAAAAUAAAAUUUUAAGAUUCUAUCAAUCACUAACUAAAAAUAAGAAAAUAAAAAUUUAAAAUUCUAUCAAUAACAUGGAUUGAUGAUAGACACAAUAUACUUCUAUUAAUAGCAUUGAUAGAAAUAAAAUUGAAAACAAAAUAUUUUUUUGUUUACGAAACAUGCUCUUAUUAGGAUAGAAAGAUGCUACAUAAUCCAUGUAGUUUUACUAAUUCAACAAUUCAUCGAGAUUGGUUAAACAAUACUAAUAACUUUCAAUGCAGAAAGAUACAUAGGUGAAUAGUAAAAAUGCUACUAAAAAAUUAAUAGUAAAAAAUUGCAACUAAAUUUAAAAUUUGUUGAAGCUAGUAAUGACUGAAAAUAUCAAACAAAUGAAGUGUUGUAACUUAAAAUAAAUCUACAAGUUUAGAACCAACCAAAGUAGUUUUUGUUUACUUUUACCAAGUACCAGAUGGACUGGUGCUUUAUUAAGCUAAAAUCAACAUCAGAAAAUAGCUUACCUAAAAUCUAUGUUAAAUUCAAUACAAAAACAAAUAAAACUAAUAUUAAUGGAAAUCAAAACAUAACAAUUUAAAAUAUAAAAUCAAAACAAAAGAAACCUUGAAAACUUCUAAGUUAAUGCAACCAAUUGCUUCCUUCAUGUAGGCAAAAAUUCAGAAAUAGGAUUAAAUUAUAAUUUUGAUCAUUUUACGAGUUGGAAUUUAAUUAACGUGUGGUUUUAAGAGUUAGAAUUUAUAAUCCAAACAAUUUGAUAAAAUCGUAACAUUAUUUCUACGAUAGAAAUUAUUAAUAAAGAUUUUUGUGAAACCAUGAAGACUAAAUUCUAAUUAUAAACUAUAAGAGCUACGUUUCCAAAUUAACCAAACAACAAAUACCAGCAAGAAAAAGAGGAGAAAGAAACAGCCCAUUUUCUAAUAUGGGAGCAUGGCCUCUCUUCUCUAUCAGUGAUACAAAAUGACUUGGAAGUUUUUUUCUCCCAUGUAAGAUUCAGUUCAAAUCCGUCAAAGUGCAGCUUCAAGUUCCCCAAUAGAAAAAACCUAAAGGAGGAUGAACAGCCAGAGUACCAUACCAAACUGACCAAAGAAGAUAAAAUAAAUACAUCAGAUUAACUUGAUUCAAUGUCACAGCAGAUCUAUGAACUUACAAUUGCUUUUCCUGAAUCAACUGAAACUGCCUAAUUUCAGGCUCUACUUUUCUUCUCUUUAGCCGAAUGUUGAAAUGAGGAAAGUCUUGUAUAUGCUCAUGAACUUCGCCACAAAAGCUGCAUCAUCAGACAAAAAAAAUACUUCAAAAAUCAAGACUGACAGAGCCAAUUUUGCCUUCUUCAAGAUUUGUAUUAACAAAACGUUAGAACAUAAAGAACUUGAGACAAGAAAUCUUUUUACAAAUGUAUAAGGAGAUAAGAAUAUUAGAACGGUAGAAUUAAGAGAUAUAAGUAAUUAGACAGAAUAUUAUUGAAUAUGUUACUGAUCUUACUUCUAGUUAGGAAGUAUACCAACAAAAUGUCAGAGCAUGAAAAGUCAAAUUCAUGAUAUAAAAGCAUGCAUUAUCAAAACUCACUACUCUAAAGUUGCAGGUAACAAUUUCUUUUUUGGUUUAACAUGGAUAGCCGAACAUAUCCAAACCAUCAAAUUGUAUGGUAGUAUCUAUCCAUUAUUUGAUGGAUUCAAGGUUCUCACAAUGAAAUUAUGAUUGUGGCUAAGUUAGCCAGGCUAACUAAUAGAACCAGAGGAAGUAAGAAGAACACAGAAGUUAUAUUUUUGUGUAAUAACAUUUACUCCAUGCUAUGUGUAUUCUAAAUACAUUUACCUUCUAUGUGGAAGAUGGCUUUCUGUCCAAGACGCAUCCUGUGUUCCUGGAAAAAGAGUUAACCAAAGAUGAAAAAUCGGACAAAAGGUGAAACUCUAUCCAACCAUCUUUCAUCUUUUUUUUUUCUUUUUUCAUAUCCACCAAGUAUCUGGACCAGCUUACACGCACCUCGACUAAUCUCACGAAACAGCCCGCACUCUACAACAUUUGGGUGUCAAGAAAACUUGUAGAAAAUUAAUUUCCUAAGAAGGUGGACACCAUGGAUUGAACCAUGACCUCUUAAUUAGUUAUUGAGACUUUCUCCUAUUUUUACUACUAGGCCAAUCCAUGAUGGUUUAGCCAUGUCUCAUCUGUAAUAUCAUAUUGCUGAAUUAAUGCAUGUAGAUAUAUAACGCACUAUAGUAUUCAGAAAUUAUACAAACAUAAAUGAGUAGAUGAUUCUUCUUAUGUGAUUGUGAUGGUAAUUUAGCCAGACGUCGUUUAGGAACAAAUUGUCUAUGGCAUGGAAAAUUGGAAAUGAAGUGAAGUGCACAAACCAGUUCACUUUUCAGUAUUUAUUCAAUGAUAUUAGACAAAGUUGGAAAUUGAAGCGUGCUUGAAAGUAAAUAGUUGUGAAAAUGAAAUGACGAAGAUCUGAAAAGUAAAUAAUUCCCGACUUGUAAAACUAUGGGCUAGAUAAGGUUGAGAUUAAAACAUGGUUGAAAUUAUACAGACUAAUAGAACCAGAGGAAAAAAGAAAGACGUAUAUGGUUAAAAUUCUUCACUUCGUUGCUUUUAUCAAUAUCCAUCAUAGAUCUCAAUAUAAGUUUGUUUUAUUCAAUGCUCAGAACCUCUCCACCCAUCAAUAUUCAGCAAAUUUAACACAGGUUCUUAAAGUGCUUUGGAGGCGACACUUAAUUGGUGUUUCUUUCAAAAGUAAAGAAAAAUAUUUAAUUUUGAAAAACUAGUCUUCAAUAUGUCCACAUACAUUCAAUCUAUCAAGUGUAGGAUCUAAUCUGUUAGUUAGUUAUGACCAAAAAAUUCGAGAAAUUGCAAAACAAGAAAAACAUGGAGAACUUGAUAUUAGAAAAAGAGGACAAAUUACUUCAAUGAUAUUGGAAUCAAAAGUUGAACAAUAAAAAAAGAAUUUAAACGAAUUGAGAGGCCAAAAUUCAACUUACAUAAUAUGCAGCCCAAUGACAGACCUCAUGCUUUAAUUCAGCAUCCAAUUUCUUGAGUAACUCAUAAAGCAAUCUCUGAGUAAGUAGAUAAUAUGAGUAUCACAUUAAAACAGAAAAAAAUCAAUAGAAAUUGGGGAAGAACGAUUACCUUCAAUAUGAUCUCCGGAGGGAUACAAUUAACCAGUAACUCAUAUAACUUCCCACGGACCUGGAAUAAUCUAAAACGCAAAAAAAUAAUGUCCAUUUAUUUCAGACUUCACACAAUUCUCCAACUAGUUAUAUGACAGUUAAAGUAGUUAUUAGUUCUCCACAUAUAUAUUUCUAUUAGGCAGUUGCAACUUUUCACAUUUCUACAACUCUGCUCGACAAAAACAAAAGUCAAGAACAUGUGUCUUUUUUACCAAACUUUCAUUGAGAAAAAAAUGAAAGAAUACAAGAGGCAAACCAAGAAAAAAAUAACAAUCCCCAAAAUCCUAACGGUUAAUUACAAAAGUCCUUACACACAGAAGCAAAAAAGGGGACUGUGGGACACUAAACUCCCUCCCUAGAAUGCUCCACUCUUCCAAAAAAAGGUAUCAUUUCUCUCACCCCAAAGACACCAUAACAAAGCACAAAUGCCAUUCGUUAACAAAAUCUAGCUUUUCUCACUAAAGGAGAGAUGAACCAAGGGCUCAAUGCGAUCAAUGCCAAACUCUAGGCCCAACCACCCUGAGGCCAAACGAUUGAAAUAAACAAGUCUAGACAGCCAAAGCAUAAUCACGGGACCACCAAAGAUGAUCAAGAUCCUCAUUGCUUCCUCAAAAAGGUCAACAAGGAGAGGAAUCUUCAUUCAUUCAAUUCAUGACCAAACCAGACAGAGAUCACCAUAAUCAAGGAGGAUACCAUCCACAGAAGUUCAAGGAUUGCUUAUCUUUAUGUAAUUAUUUGUUAAUGAAAAAUACUAGCACGGCAUAUUUUAAGAAUCAAAAGCAGUUUGAAUGACAAUGUUAGAGACGUACCCAACUGAUGUGUAUGAAAACCACACAUAUAUGAUAUUGAGAUGUAUGUUAUAGUACAGAAUACAACAAAAAAAGGUACAUGAGGUACCUUUUGGGACUCUGCUCCUUCAUUAUUUCAGAUGCUAUCUCAGUGAUGUACUCCUCCCAAUCCAUUGGUGGUAUUGCCUGGUUGCUGACAAAAGGAUACCUAACCCAAAAAAUAAAAUAAAUAAACAGCUCAGUCCCAAUCCUUAAAGAUUGUUUACCAAGGUAAUUUUUUAUGAUAAGAAGUGAGAGAAACUUAGAUCUGUAAGAGGCCCAGUGGAGACUAACUGUUGAACACGGCAAGUCUCAAAUGAUAGUAUAGCUCUCCUCAAACUCCUGUUUGAUUUUUCUGCAAUACGGGAAGCAAAUCCAGAUGGAAGUUGCAGUCCUUCUUUCUUUCCAAUGUACUCUAAAACCUUGAAAAUCUGGUGAAAGGACGUAACUUUUUCAACAGCUUUCGAAUCACUACAAUAACAUUUUUAAACUUUCAACAAAUACUUUUGAAGACUAAGUUUUCAGGUAAAUGUAAACCACGCCAUGAAAGAGGAAACAGGCUUUCCACUGUCCACAACUUGCAAAUCAAAAGUCUUGAUCCACUUAAUCCACUAACGUAAUUUUUCCUUCUAGUCUAAAAUCUUUGGGUACAUAUAUAGGUAGAAUAUAUUACACGACAACUAAAGGCAGGAGCUACUGAAUAUAUGCAUCACUAGAAAAGGCUUUAAAUUGUUUAAAAGCAUAAAACAAAAAUUGAAAAUGGCAGUGAAUUUUCUUAUCCCAAAAAAACAAAAACCGGGUGAACUGCUUGGUUUUCUGACAGCAGCAUUGGUACCACUAACUAUACAAGGUAAGCAUUUGAAAAGGCAUUCUUUGACCUACUUACAUUUAAAUAUUAAGUUAAGACACCCAGAAAAUUGUUGCCCAUAGACUGCCAGAAUAACAUAUUGAAGAAUAAUUAGGUCAAUCACUGCCACAGAUAGGGAAGGUUUUCAUCCUUUAUUAAUAUGACGUCAGUUUACAAUAGUUGUCUGACUCCAAGUUCUUAGUCGAAUAACAAAUUGAAUGUGGCUAAAAUUUAUAAAUAAUCACACUGGUUAGGACAUGACAUUUUAUUACGUUCUUCCAGUCCAUCAUUUAGUUUACUCAAAUUCAUACCUCAGAACAAAAAGGAAAUAAGACAUUACAAAAAAAAAAAGAAAAAACUAUCCUGACCUGCUCCUCUGUAGGUCCAUUUAUCCGCACAUUUAGGCAGCGAGAGCGGAUUGCUUCAGUAACUCUUGAUGAACUAUUGCAGCAAAGAAUUAACCUACAGUACGAGCUAUAUUUCUCCAUUGUUCUCCUAAGAGAGUGCUGAGCUUCUCUUGAUAGUUUAUCAACAUCAUUUAGAACCAAAACUGAUAAAUGACCAGCACUAAAAAUCUCAAUAUCUUAUAGAGAUAUAUAAUCUUGCACAUACAAGCAUACUGGUAAAUAAAACAAGAUCCCAAACAAGCAAUAAAUCGAUAUUUUACUGGUUUGUUAGUGAGAUCAUUAACAUUUUUAAGCAUUAACCACAAAGAAUAAAUAAGUUCUCGGGCAUAAACAACUGAUAAAUAUGGUUGGAGGGGGUGAGGAAAAAUGAACACCUUUAUGUCCUCUUUUCCCUUUGGAAUCAAUUGGUCUGUUUUUUGCCAUUUCUUUGAUUAUCUCUUGAACAAUAUACCUAUCUUGGAAACCUGCAUCACUAGGAGUGAGCUCCACAUGGUUGGCACUUGACAAGGUUGUCAACUCUAUAUCAAUAGUUCUGGUUCCAGCCUGAGAAGAAAAAGAAAGGGCAUAGAAACACAGAGAGAGAGAGAGAGAGAGAGAGAGAGAGAGAGAGAGAGAGAGAUGGUGAUAAUGAUGAGAACAUAAAGUUAUACAGCCAAAUAACAUCUUCAACAAGUUAAAUUUUUAUGCUAAUCUAUAACAUUCUGAACUAGUAAUCAUAUCAACAGACAACUAGAAGAUCUCCUUUCCCAGAAUCUGAAUUCAAUUACUUUCAUACACAUGUGAAAGGAGAUGGCAUCACUAAGGACAAAUUUGGUAACCAUUUGGUUAUUGGUUUUUGGUUUUAAGUUUUUGAAAAUUAAGUCUAUACACAUCCCUUCCACCUCUAAACUUCUUACCUAGGUAUCUACUCUCCACCAAUGUUUCCAAAAAUCAAGCCAAAUUUUUAAAACAAAAAAAGUAGUUAUUUAAGAACUUGUCCCCUUUUAUUGUAAAUUCAACUUUUGUAUCAAUCAUUGUCAUAAACAACCGAAACUUACAUCAACUUUCCACGUUUUGUUCUCCACCUUCACCUGCAGGCAAAAGGCAAGAGAUGAUAAAACACAACAAACAGACAGAACAACGAUCACAAAGUUUCCCAGACAGAAGAAUAAACAUCAAGAUUCAAUACCUUAUCCGCACUGGGUCCAAACAUCUGCCGGAUAAGGGCCAUGACUAGGGUUUUCUUCCCAGAACCGGAGGGGCCAUAAAAGAGCAAAUGAGGGCAGUCCUGUUCAUUAACCUAGGAGAAAAUUUAUGGAAAACCCACAUCAAAAAACGCCAAAUUGAAGUAUGAAAUAAGGAAUGCAAGGGAAAAAAAAAACAACGAAAACCAGUUACCAAUUUCUUGAGAUUCUGUGCUACAUCUUGGUGAACUGUGAUCUGGUCUAGGGUUUUUGGACGAUACUUGUCGACCCACAACAUCUUCUCCGGUCUAUGGAGAUUUGAGAGUGUGGAGAGAGAAAAAAGAAGUGUGAGUGAAAGAGAGAGCGAAGGUUUAGGCGAGGCUUGAAAUGGCGGGAAAAAGAAACAGAACUGAUGGUUGAUGAGGAGGGGGAAACGAAAUCCCCAGUAGUCGCACUCAACUUUGACCCUUUUUUUUGUUUUCUUUUUAAGAAAAAUUUUAAUUUAUACCCUCCAAUCUGAUUUGUUUUUUUAGUACUUAUGUUAUAAUAGUUGUAGUUUGUAAUCAUAUUUUAUUUCAUACGAGAUUAUCCUUAGAUCUUCAUAGAUGAGGACAGCUCUUUAGUGCUAGCCCAAUAAGCCUAUCAUUUCAAGGGUAAGAUGUAAGACGAAGUUCAUUCUUAUCGGUUUUAGGGUUCGUAGAUAAGUUGUUUCCUUAAGGACUGAAUUCAAGUCUUGGGAAACGAAAUCCCCAGUAGUCGCACUCAACUUUGACCCUUUUUUUUGUUUUCUUUUUAAGAAAAAUUUUAAUUUAUACCCUCCAAUCUGAUUUGUUUUUUUUAGUACUUAUGUUAUAAAAGUUGUAGUUUGUAAUCAUAUUCUAUUUCAUACGAGAUUAUCCUUAGAUCUUCAUAGAUGAGGACAGCUCUUUAGUGCUAGCCCAAUAAGCCUAUCAUUUCAAGGGUAAGAUGUAAGACGAAGUUCAUUCUUAUCGGUUUUAGGGUUCGUAGAUAAGUUGUUUCCUUAAGGACUGAAUUCAAGUCUUAAACAAGGGGCUCCACCCUCUCAUUGGCCUAAGAGGGAUUCGGCUUAUAGGUUGAACCUUAAACCAAGUGUUCGAUAGUGAAUCAGUAGAACUUAUGGAGCAAGAUGUAGUCUCAUGGAUAAAACGGUAUUUUGAGCCAACUGAGGUUACGAACGACCUGUGAAAGAUUGACUUAAUGAUCAUAGUUUUAUCAAAUGGACACAAAUAUAUCUAUAGUAAGGGGAGUGCAACUACGAGACUUUAGUGGAAUGGUCUGUUAGUUAACGAAUGUUGAUUAACUCAAUCUAAAAGAGUUUAGCUAGUCAAUCUCGAAUCGUUGGAACUCAUGAUCUAUAGGUCCAUUAGGUUCCUCUGCUAGCUUUUAUGGAAUAAACUUAUAAUAGUAUGAUGGAAUAAGUCGAAUUGUUCAAAUUGAGAGAGGAGAAAGAAACCGACAAGUAUAUGGUGAUAUAGUCAUCGAAUUUUAGAAUAAGAGAUAAAGUUUUAUAUUUAAAUGAGAUUUAAAUAUUAAAGAUAUGAAUGCAAAUUGAUACUCAAAAGCUCGAAAAUGAUGGAAAUAGUCAAAAUUGUAAAAAAUCAAAAUGUUGAAAAGUCAAACUUUGACCGGCGAUAUAUUCAAAUGUGAUUUGAAUCUUGAGAAAAUAAAUGUGGAUUUGUGCUCGGGAGGUUGAAAUUAGUCAAGUUAGAUAAAAUUGUAAAAAGUCAAAAUGUUGACUUUUGGUUUGAAAAGUCAAAGUUUGAUUUUGUGCCAAAUGACAAUUUUGCCGUUUGACCAAAGUUAGUGGAAAAAUCCAACAUUUUGUUGAAUGAUCUCACUAACUAUAGUAGACUAAGUGUUAGCACACUACGAAGACAAUAAACCCACUAAUGGUUAGUGGGUUAUGUGUUGUUGGCGCAUGAGCUUACAUGCAUAUGAAACUUUGCAUGUGAUUUCUUUAUAAAAUGAGCUCUAUGGGUUUUGUUAAAAUCAGUUGGAUUUUUUAGUAUCAAAUAUGUCGGCUACUUCUUUUUCCUUUGUAAUUUUUUUUUAAAAAAAAAAACAAACCAAAUUUCAAGUCCAACCCUAUUCCUUCAUUUUUUUUCAUUAUUUUCUCUCUCAAUUUUCUUCAUCUAAUGGGUCCCACAACCCAGUUUUGAGUUUGAAGGAUAGUAGGUCAACUCUAGGGGUGGUGUAGGCAAAAAAAAAAAAAAAAAAUGAGAGCUUCGAAUGUAAGUUUUCUUAAAAACCCUAAUUUCAUUUUAUUUUUCGGUUUAGGGUUCCAUGUUAAUUAAGUGUAAUUAUGGUAGAAUUAUGAUCCGGUUUUGGCCGUCGUUUUUUUAUUUUCAUCGCGUGGUAUUAGAGCAUGUUUAAAUUUACCCAAUUGCAUGUGGUGGGUUCCAUUUUAUUAGAUAAAUUAUGGUUGAACUAAAAUGGAUAUAUUAUGAUUUUGGCCCUAAAUUAAGUGUUUUUCUAUAUUAAUUAUUGUAAUUGGCCAGAUUUUGUGGCUUAAUGAAUAUUGUGAAGGGUUUGUGUUUUUUUAAGAGUCGGUAGUGUUGAAUAUUAGGCUGUAAUUAUUUCACUGGGAGAGAGAAAAGUUGAUUUUUGAAGAAAUUUCAAAGACGGACUUAGAAAAGCCCUUAAGACCCAGUCUAGAUCCAUUAGGAACCCGACUAUAAAGUCGGCCCUCUUACACGUGCCCAACUAGACCCAGUUUGCGUGUCAUCUGACCCACAAGCAUGUCUGUCCUAGCUCACACCUCGCGCACGCAGCCCACAUGCGAGUCUAGUCUGACCCGCUCUGCGUACUUGUCAAAGCUAUUUCUUCGACCUGUGCGCGUCUAGUGGCCUACUUUGGUGGAUUGAGCUGGUUCAAGUCUAAUUGUUGGGUCUUAGCCGUUCAAGAUGGUUUUGGCCUGAUUCAGUGUAGAGUUGAUGUUUUUCCAGCCGGUUUGGGGUUGUUCGAGAGUGGUUUAUGUACUACAUCAAAUUAUUAAUGUAAUAAUUAAGAAUUUAAUUUAAUCUAGGGGUCAAAAUCAGUCUUUUUUAGGGUGUUUAUAAUUAAAUUAUGCAUGUGAUGUAUGUUUUAAUUAUUUUAAAUUUGUAUGUACAUAUUGUAUGUCAUAUAGAUAUAAAAUCCCACCAUGUUAUAAUGUUUAUAAUAUAUAGUACGCAUGUUAGUUAAUUAAUUAAUUAAUCUAAUUAAUUUUGAUUAAAUUUGAUUUAAUGAAUAAUUUUUUAUUUAUUUAACAUAACUAAUAUGAUUUAAUUAAAUGAUAAAUAAAUUAAAUUCUAUAUUAAUUAAUUAGUUUUAUAUAAUUGUUAUAUAUGGUUGUUAGAUGUGUGUCAUAGAUUAGUAUAACAAAGAUACGUUGCAUGCUUACCUAGGUUAAACAUAUCUUCCAAUCUUUUCAUAGAAAUAGGUCGAUAUCUUGUAAAUCCGAUUACAAGAUGCUCACCUGAUUCGAUCUUGUCAACAAGUCAGAUAAGAUGGCUAAGGUUGGAGGUUCUUAAGUUGACGGUUUAUAAAACACCCCUUACCUGGAGAUUGUAAUAAGUUCCUGAGCCUAGUUAACCUAGUUUUAUGAGCAUGCAUGAGAGAUUUGAGGUAAUAAAAAUUGGUUAUGGCCUAGACAUUGUAGGUUAAAAUCCGCUAUAAAGGUUAUGCUCAAUGUUUUUCUAGACUUAUGAUUUGUUUAAGUUAGCUUAAAUAUAAAUCCCAAAGUCUUAAAUUACUCUUAGAAACCGUUAUAGAACACUUCAGCUAGAGAGAAGUAAUGUACUUUUAGCACUAACGUCCCUAAGAGUUCACACGGUGAGUUCCAUGUAGGGCUUUGGGUUGUGUAUAGGAGCAAACUCCCUUCGGAGAAUGUUUGUAUGGAUCAAUAUCAAGGUGAAUAGGGGAAGUAGUUCAUAGUAAGUGAGAGAGAGAUAUGUGACAACACAUCCCACGAUCUCUUUCAUUAGGUGGCACUGUGAGAUUCCUAUAAUGCACAUGCUUGUCUGCCUUAGAGCGAUGUUCCCUUCGGAGGGUGGUAUUAUAGGAUUCAGAACAUCACAAACUUCAAAUAUGGAUAAAUUUUCUUAGAUCAGUUUUCAUAUUGACUUUCCACUUACGGAAGCAUGUUGAUUUUGAUCUAUGAGAUCCGAAAAUGACAGGUUACACUCACAAGAAUUACUAAGUUGUUAGUACAUUCUUGACCAAAGUAGCGAUAACUAAGUCCUAUAAAGAAUAAACAAUUAUUCUAGAGUUAGCAUCUAAGCAAGAUUGUCUUGGUUCAAAGGAGGAAGUAAUCCACUACUCUUUGAUGGAGGUUGUUCUAAGGGAAAUUGCAUUAGAUGAUAAAAAAAUUUAGAAAAAAACUGUUCAUAACAUCUCUUUUUUGCAUAUUGCAAAUUUGACAAAUAUGAGGUAAUCUGCUUUUAAAUUUGCUGUUUUUGUAAUUUUGAAAAUGUAAGUGACAUGGACUCUAUUAUCAUAAACUUUUUUACUAUUUUUACAAACUCUCCUUAUUCUAAACCUUUGAAAUAUCGUUACGAAAUACAAAUAAUUAAGUCUCCUGAGGUGAGGUCUUGAACUUUCUGUUCGUAUAACUUAGUCCUUGCAACCCUUCAACAAAACUAAAGAUUUUGUCAUUUUCGGUCAUAUCAGAUAUAUCUAACAUCAGCCCCGCAAAUUGCUUCACAUACUUCUGAAUGGUUCCAGUGUGUUUUAAUUCCCGCAGUUUUCGACGAGCCAAAAUCUCGACAUUCUUAGAGAAAAACUAUGAGCGAAGUUCUCUCUUCAAAAUCUCCCAAGUAUCUAUGGUGCAACGUCCUUCCUGAAUGUCCACAUACUGGGAUCUCCGCCACAAGUUUGCAUCUUCAGAUAGAUGCAUGAUCGUCAAUGUCACUUUGGCUUCUUCCAUAUUAGUAUUCAUGGCUUUGAAAUACUACUCAAGUCGAAGAUAAAGUUUUUCACCCAAACAAUGGGAUGCACUCAUACACCCAAACUAGAAGAACAUAUGGAAAUCCUACGAUCCUGACAACUAGGGUAGUGACUUUUUUAAAGGAGUCAAUGGUGAUGUGACAUGCUAUUCUUCCCCAAGGAUAGUUAUCAAAAUGACCCUCAUCAUCCAACAAUUUAUUAUGAUCCACAUCUACCCCUGUUGUUAUUUGUUUCCCUAGCAAAAAGUUCGACAAAAAAAAAUGUAAAGUUUUGUCAUUUCGUUAAACAAGUAAGACACAAAUGACCUUGGUAUAGACUCUCUAGUAUUAAAGUACUUACCAAAGAAUCUACCCUUUAGCUUCUUCAUGUCUAAUUUUGGCAAUACCCCACAAUUUAGACCAAUUAUUUGUUUUGAACUCCCUAAUUCUCAAAUGAACAAUUUCCUCCCUCAAAAUUAAACCAAAACUCAUAGUCUUUUGUAAGGCUACAUUGCCUUCUAAUUAGGUGAUACGAGAGCUGGCUGGAGAAUUUUUUUACUUUAAGUUAUAGGGAACUUCCAACAGGUAAUUCCUUAAAUCUUCCUAGUUUUUCAUCCAUCGGUCUUCUUUCUAUGUUAUUUAAAACAUCAAAUCUAGCGUAAAUACUAAGCUUAUGUACUUUAUACCAUUUAUUUCGUUUUAAAAUCAACAAAGCAACCUGCAAACAUAGAGAUAAAAUCACAUUGCAAUCUAUACAUACUCAAUAUAUUAGUCAUGUUAUAUGGUAUAUCAUUCGGUAUAUUCAUAUAUUGUUGGGUAUACUUCAUACACAUCGUCCCUUCUCAGUUUGUUUCUAAACACCUAAUUAGAUUUUGUUAGUGCAACUUUCUUCUUUGUUUUAGCUUCAUGAAUGAAGAAGUUUUUAAGUAUUUGAACAUAUGAAAUAUGAAAAUCCCAAAUUAUUUGAACAUAGAUACUAAAAUCUUAGACCAUUGGAUAAUAGACUAACAUAGAUAUCCCAUACAAAAUCCAUAAGUACCACAUUUUCUUUAAAAAUUUCACGAGUAAAAAUUAAAUAUUAUUUCAACCUUCAUUCUACUAGUUCAAAACAAGCAUUUAUCCCGCUUGUACUAUUUUCAUUCAUAAAAAAAUGUGCAAGAAACCACAUGCAUGUUGGUUCCAUAUAAAAAGAUAGUUCCACAGAACACAUUGUCUUGUUUGAACCCUAAAAUAAGUUUAAAAAACAUAUCGAUUUUAGUUUCAUACCAAAUGUUCUGUAAUAUACACAAUAUACCCUAAGAAGUUUAGUGAAGAACAAACAUAAAUUACUUAUCGAAACAGUAUUUGGCAGUAGAAAAUUUUCCUUUCUACCCGUCCUCGUUCGACGAAACCUUAGAUUUCUUACACAAAAAUUGAAAAUGCAUCAACAACCGAUUUUGUUCCAUAACACUUGCGGUUUUCAAAGGUUGCUUGAAGAUCGUUCCAUAAAGCUUGCAGUUUUCGAAUGUUGCUUGAAGAAGGAAGGUUAUGGGACAUGUUUUGAAAAUAAAACGGAUAUCCACCUUUUGUGUAUUUUUCUUACUUCUCAUUUACCUUAUUACUAUUUUUAAUAAUAUUAAUAAGAAUGAUGGAUACUUUUGGUCACUUAAAUGGUAUUCUUAUGUCCAACGUGUACUUAAACAUACUAAUUUAGGCCAUACGAGUUAAAACCCCAAAUAAAAAAAACCAAAAUUAUUCUAUGUAAAAUUUAAGUCUACAGUUAAAUUCAUUCAAUGUAUUAACAAUAAACAAAAUGUAACUUAAUCCAUCCUGUAUGAUUUGAGUUGUUAACAUUCUCUUAAAAUUCUCUUGAAGAAGAUGGGAUGGGAUGGGAUGGGAUGGGAUGGGAUGGGACAGUAUGGUGUAGAUGGAGUCCUUUUUUUGGAUCGGAUAAUAAUAAUAAUAACGACAAUGGCUUCCUAAAAUUCAUUCACCAAUUUGCCCUCUAUAAUUCGUUAACAACAACGAGAGAAAAUUGCCCAAUCUUCAAGUUCACCCCUAGCCUGUAAGCAUCGAACUGAGUCAUUGUAUUGGCGAUUUCCUCGAGAACUACUUCAAUUACAGCUCCAAUUUCCACUUUGAAGCCCAAUUUCAUCGCAGAUUUCCUUCUUUCGUAAGCAAUGGAUUCAGCUACUUUAACCAUGUCAUCGUCUGUCAUUUUGCGUAAUUCAUCGCUGAAAUUACUUGUCAUUAGAAAGAUUCAACCCCCGUUGUGUUUCAAAAGGAACAAGUUCUCCAAGAUCUCCGCGCUCUAUCCCAAUGGCUCUGCUUCUGGGGUUGGUACUUUUCAAAUUUCUUACGUGAUUCUAUUUUCUGUUUUCUGGGUAUUACUUGAAAGCUAUUUAUUCAAUGAAUGGGUUUAUUGUACAUUCAUUUUUGUGCAUUUGAAGGUGUUUGGUUGUUUGCUGCAUACGUAGGAAUAUAAUUGGGUCUUUUCGGCUAUGUUUUUCUGAUGGAGGCUGAGCAUUUUGGUUUAAAGUUACUGCUUCGUUGUGUUUUUUCUUCUUAUUCUUAUUAUAUUUUCAUUCAGUCUAAACUUGACAAGGUUUAAUGAGAAAGGGUAGAGCAUCUUUUUGAUAAAAGACGGACUUUCGAUGAGAAAAGAAUGAAAGAACACGCAGACAUGCAAAAGAAACCAAGGCUAGGAAAGGAAACAUCCUAGAAAAGGAUCUCCAAUCUAACAAAAAUAAGGCCUAACGAAUAAUUACAGAAGGAACUCAUCAUCGAUGCUGAGAGAGAAGCGUUAAACUUUAGCACUUUGCCAAGGUCCAAACGUUGAAAGGUUCCCUUGGAUUUUCGAAUCACCUAUAUCCCUAUCUUAUAUCCAAUAAAAAACAUGAGGGCUAUACUUAUAAUAAUCUGAGACCAUAAGGAUGAGGAUUCAUGGUAAAACAUAGAUCUCCCACAUGUGAUAAUGGGGUCUUUAUAUAACUAUUGUUUGUUUGAUGUUUAAAUUGUAGAAGCUCUCAUUGCAUAUUUUGAAAAAGAACCGUGUUUUUUUUUUUUGCAGUGGUAGGCACCAUGGCUCGUUACCUGUUGAAUUGGCAUAAUUGUUCGAAACUUGCUAGAGCAUUUCACAAAUAAUAUUUUAUGACAUUUGCAUUUCGCAAUGUAACUAUACGUCAAGAAGCUCUUUAAACUUUUUUGGCUUAUUCUUUCAUACGCUUUGUGAUUGUGUAUGGAAUCAUUUGCUUGCAUCUUGCGACUACAGUUCUGCAUUCAUAGUUUCCAUAUAAUAUGUCUUUGAAAAUAUUCUGUGUGUAGCAGGGGGAUUCUUCAGCUGCAGAUGUUCAUAGACGACGAAGUUCUUUUGAAUCUUUGUUUUGUUAUGACAAGGCUAUCCCAGAGGAAAGAAUUGAGACGCCUAUUGGAAUAUCUCUGGCAGAGAAAAUGAUUGGAAACAAUCCCCGUUGCACUGAUUGUCAAGCCAAAGGUGCUGUUCUUUGUGCAACUUGCUCUGGCUCGGGCUUGUAUGUCGACUCAAUAUUGGAGAGCCAGGGAAUAAUUGUGAAAGUUCGUUGUCUAGGUAAAAUUGUAUUCCUUCUUAACUAUUAGUAGCAACAUUUAGGAGUGGUUCAAAUUAUGGAUAUUUUUUUAAAUGGAGUCCUGUUUUGUAAUUUUCUUGUGUUUUCCCGUAUUUUUUCUGUUGCUCUUUUGGCUCCUUUUGGUUCAUGCCUCCUCUUUUUGUAGGUCUCUUUUUGGCUUUCGUGUUUAUCUUCUUUCCUUUAUUCUCAAAUGAAAGUCGUUUUCUUCUCCAGAAUGGAACUUUUUAUUUUGACCCUGCUAGAUUGUUACUUAUCUAGUGGCCAUUAUGGUUUAACAUGAAAGCAGAAAGAAGUCAACAAGAUACCAAAUGUACUUUUCGUGUAGUCAUUUCCAUAUAACUUGGAAAUUUUUAAGAAAUCGAUGCUGGAAUCUGCAGAAGCUUUUGAAUUGAUUAGGCUUUUUUCUAUCCUGUGCAUUUGAUUCAAUAAUUAUACUUCUUGAAAAGGGGAAUUUUUUGUUUCAUCACUGUCAGUCAUCUGUACUCUAAGUUGUCCAUGUUUGUGAUAUAUAAUUAAAUUUGCUUUCAACCACUAGCUUAAGCUUUUAGAUGAAUUGGUGGUUUAAUAGUCCGUUAACUCAUUGAAAAGUUAUUGUCCUAACUCUGCAAUCAUCUUCUUGUAGGUUGUGGUGGAACUGGCAAUAUCAUGUGUUCAGAAUGCGGUGGUCGAGGUCACCUGGGAUCUAAAUAAGUUGUGAAGACUCCUUUCUGAAGGAUUCAUCUUGAACUGUCCCCAGCUGUAAUAUUGGGCAUGGCUUAUGUGUUGAUGAUGGGAUAUAUUAAUCUUGCAAUUCAGUGAAGAUCGAUAGAGUUAAUUUUGAUUUAGGCAGUUUGUGGGAUAUCCUUACCAUAUUUCAGUUCAAUUUUGGUUUAGCUCAAAUUACUCCCCAGUGUUCUCUUCCGGCAACAUUUGUACUUGUAACUUUGUUUGUCAAAUCGACGCAACUUGUAACAGAAAGUUGUGGAAUGUAUGAACUAUGAUGUCAGAAUACAUGAACUACAAGGAUUUUUUUUUCACAAUUACUGGUAUCUCUUUGUUCUUUUAUUCUUUUUAGUAGUUAUCAAGCUUUGAAGCUUUAUUAUAUGUUUGAACAAAAAAUCUACCCUGAAUUUUUCUCUAACUUCUGCUCAAGAAAGCCAAAAGAACAAGAUUUGUAGGGAAGGGGGGAAGAAAGAAGAAUAAAGCCGGCAUUUAUGUUUCAGUGGGCUCCACGAAAGGCUUCUGUUUUUUAGGCCAGUCUCUUACUAAAACUUGAGGAAUGGUCUAAAUCUGCUUCUUCACUUGUUUUCAAGUUUUGUGGUUGAUUAAACUGCGAUCUCCGCUGAAGGCGUUGAAUCUGAUCAGGCACGGUGGAGUCAUAUCGAGGAUUCUGGGGAUUCUCUGCAUAGGCCACGUAAUAGGCAGAAACACAUGCUUGCGGCCAUGCCAUUGCUAUUCGACACUGCAACAACAACCAUGAGCAUUGUCAUCCAGAAGUUAAACUCCUCUCAGGUAUUAUACUAAAUUCAGUUAAAGUUCAGAAAAGCCAUUUUUAUAGUCGAUAAUAUUUUAGCUCGUUACCAGAAAAUAGCCAAUUAGGAAGGCAUAGAUUGCUAAUUCUGUUGCGUAGUUCUUGUGUAUUACAAGUGUCCAGAUCCCACUUAUAAUGCUGCAGAUUGCACCACUUGAAACCCCACAGAGAACGCAGAAGGACACGGUGAGAUCAGAAUGUAUAACAAUUUCCAACUCUGCCCUUUUGAAUGCUUCCCAGGUAUCAUAGGAAGCCUGCACAAUCCCUUUAUUGAAAACUCCGACGUGGACGAAACCCCACCUAUUUCCAUGGCUUCUCAGCAACGAAGCCAAUCCCGAGCAGCAGUUUGCACAGGAGAAAAGGAACUCAUCUGAGUCUCCUGCUACCAGCCUCAUGGAACGUGCAGAUCCCUGAAUGAAGCUAAAAAGGGGGAUGAUGGCUGAGCCAAGAGAAAUAGUUCCAACUGAAUUCUUUAUUAUGUCGUGGAAAGCUGCUCCUAUGUCCUUUUCGCUACCCUCAGCCAAAUUCAAGUACUUUAUGCAUGAGAUUGUAACUUGCACUAUGUUCUUGAUGACCUGCAGACUCCAGCUUAGGAUCAACAGUAUUGCUGCCACGAACAAUGCUGUAAAAUCAGACCUAAGAGCAAUUGCUCCACCGAUACCAAUGACCAAGAAAGAUGCAUAAAGAAUGCCAAUGAUGAUUGAUCCAAAAACAAAGAUUGAGGUGUUCUUCGGAGGAUAUUUAGUAGAAAGUGAUAGAAGUCGAAUUGCGUAAUUCAAACGGUGAUUGAUCCAACAGACAUAUACCGACAGAAUCAAGGAACAAACUAUGAGAAUCACUCCUGCUGCUAAACCACCACGAGAUCCAACAAUGACAAAGAAAACGCCAGAAGCGAGAGAUAGAACAGGGCUGAACCAGAAGGCUGUCUUCAAAGCCAUAGAAGGAGAACAACCGGUGAAGGCCUGCCAUGAAAAGCCAAUGAUUCCAGAGCUUCCAGUAGAAGCCAACAAUGGAGGGUACCACUUUCUUGGGUGAAAAUGAUGUGUUUUAGAAGCUGCCUGAAGUCCCCGAACUGUCAGAUAGAUUACCAACACAGCUACCAGCCAUAGAUGGACAACUAAAAUUAUGUGUGAAAGCCUCCUGAAAAUUCUCCAUCCUACGGCAGGCUCGUUCAGACGGAUGGGUUCUUGAACCUGCAACAACAACCAACAAGAUUCAUCCAUAUACAUGUACGUCAACCUCCAUAGACCAAAAUGAAUCUGAAUUGACCUGAAAAUGAAAAUGAUUUCUUGAGAAAAAAAGAAACCAACCAACCUUGUUAGGAGUUGAAGAUGAAACCCUUAUUUGUUGAACUUGUAGGGAUUGAUUCUGCAAUACAUUUGGUGGUGUUCGGGUUUCCAUUUUUUCACUACAGGAAGAAACCAGUUCCUAAAAUUCAUAAAAAAAAAAAAAAAAAAAAAAAACAGAAGCAGUUCGUAGAACCUUUGAUGUGUUCUUGAAGUGCUUUGGAUUGGUUGAUGAAUAAGUAAUGUGCUUGAAAAUCCUUGGCCUGCAAGAUUCAACAUAAAAAACUCAAUGCUCUUGAGAUUUGAACUUUUCCAAGUCUUGUUAAACUAAUCAUUUCUUGGAAAUCUGUGUGUAUAUAUAAAAAUGUAUCUGGAAUUGAAUAAUUUUGGGUCAAAAUGGUUGUUGGUUGCUGGUGUGAUGACGUGGCAGCAUGAGGGGAUGGUGACAUGGAGCAAUGGGUUUCUUCUUGGUUUGUCUUAGGUUAUCAUCCUUGUGAUCCACCUCUCUCUUCAUAAAGAAAAACGGUAUUUGCUUUCUUGCUUUUAAAGUCAGUUCUUUUUUCUUUUCUCUUUUUCUUUUUUUUUCUUUUUCCUUUUUCCUUUUUCUUUCUCUCAAUCAACUCAAUGUUGAACAACUUAACUAAAAUAUUUUUCUUUUCUUCUUUUUUGUUAUUUACUUUCUAAAGUAGAAUCCUAUGUUUUUGAAAAGAAAUGCACUGUUUUUAGAAUCCAUUUAUAGUUUAUAUUUUUAAUUUCAACUCACUAUAUAUAUAUAUAAGUAAUUUACAGUUUUGCCUUCCAACUUCAAUAAUUUAAAGUUUAAUAUUAAAAGACAAACACCCUUUCAUGUUAAUGAUUGUGAACCAAAGAUGGCUUCCCAAGUUUUGUCAACUCUUUUCUUUCUUUUAUUUAUUUCUCGAUAUUAAAUUUUCAAUUUUACAAAUGUAUCAAUAGAAUAUCAAUAUUGAAAAUUAAUUUUGUAAAUUAAAAAUUUAGGCAAUUUUAACACACUCCAUUAUAUAAGUUUUAUUUGGACAAACAAAUAUACGAAUUUUAUAAUUUUAUCAGUAGAAUCCCCAAACUUUUAUGAUUGAAUUAAUUUAAAUUUUCAAUUAAGACUUUAUUUAAAGUAUCCUAAUUGAAUUGCAUUUUGAGAAACUUAUUAUUGGUGUGUAUCUAUCUUGCUAUGUUGACGCAAUUUUAGGCCUAGAUUUGAAUUAGGUUAAAGGGAUGGGAAGUGGCUCGUGGCAACCAGGUUGGUGGGACUUGCCGUGUGCUCUUUCUCAUAUUCUAAAGCUGGAAAUUGGAAUGUGGAAACUCUCAAUUCUUUUUCAUGCCUUCAGAAUCAUCCAACUUCCCAAAACGUCUCACUUUCCUUACCCUUACUUUGCUUUUCAAAGUAAACCAACAUUUACUUUAUAAGUAUGAUAAAAAUUACUUUUCUAGACCCGCUUUACCUAAGUGGUAAUUUCACGUAAAUUUUCAUUUCAUCUCUCUCUCCACCGUUGUUGUACUAAAACAUCUUUAGAAAAUACAUAGCAUUUGGAUUUUCAAAUUUACAAACUUGGUAAUGUUCUUGUCCUCUGUUUUUUAAAACAAGAAACAAAGAUGUAUUUGAUAACUGUUUUUGGUUUUUGGUUUCUUGUUUCUUGAAAAACAGAAAUAGAAAACGUGUUUGAUGAUAGCUGUUUCUUAUUUCUUGUUUUCUUAAUAAUGUCCUACAUUAAAUAUAUGUUGACUUACGUCUGAUUGAUAUACGUCGAUGGUUAACCACUCAUUUCUCUUAAAUCUACCUUGAUAACUUUAUCAAACGAAAAUAUAUCUACCGUUAACUACUCCUUUCUCUAAAAUCUACAUCACUAACUUUAACGAUAUUUACCAAUAAUAAAUCAUUUUUGGAUUUUAACAAUAUUUUGUCGUUUGCAUAAGUUCUCGUUCUAAACAUUUAUCAUUACCUUGUAUAUGAGAUUGGAAUGGGAAGAAUGAAACUUUCUAUAAAAUUUGAGAUGAAAAAGGUCUUUAAUCCAUUUUUAUCCUAUAUAAUCCUUACAAAUAUUUAUAGGAAAAAUAUUAUAUAAAAGAACAAAGAACAAAGAACCCAUAAAGAAAGUUAAAAUUUUUGAAUUUGUAAAAAAUGAUGGUAUAUUUCAAAAUUUAAAAUUUAUGGUUCAAGAUUACAUUUUUUUAAGGUCUUGAAGUCACCAAACAAACAAAAGAAAAACAAAUAGAGCAAAAUUCUCAUUUAAUUCCUUUGUUUCUGUCUUGUUGAACAUUUCAAAUGUACAAUGAAAGCUUCAACUCUUUCAUUCAAUUCCUCUUCUUCUUCUGCUUCUUCAAUUCCAAUUCCAAAGUUCAUAAUUUCACACAACAACCUAAUCAAACCACCAACCAAGGAGAAUACUAUCGAUAUAGAUUUAUUUUAAAUAUGUGGAACUUAAAUGUGCAAAGGAUGCCCACAAAAUGAUGGGAGGUAAAAAUUGGCUAAGCACAAUAAACUACAAAAACUGUUGUAAAAAUUUCGUUGAUGACGAUCAAAAUAACUUGCUGCGUCGUGAAGAAUCACUGUCCGAAAAGAAAAAUUUGGCGAUCUUAAUGCCGGUUGCUUCUCAAGUUUAACAUAACUCCCUACUUCAGACGUGCACUCAUCGAAAAUAGGAAUAGAAACGAUGAAGGAUUGCUUAGAACUUUGUAUCGGUAGGGAGGAUGAUGUAGAGAGAAAGGUAGAUAUGAGAGGUUUUGUUGAAUGAAAAUGAAGCGGAGGAGGGCUCUAUUUAUAAUGGAGUCCCCCUCAACUGCCAUAUGAAAUUUCCUCAAAAGAAAGGCGAGGAGGAAAGAUCGAUAGCGGCGUGAAGCGUGGAAGACCGACUAUUCGGGACGACUAGAGAAGUGUCUCGAACUGCGACUCAUGGCAAAGCUUUCGUCACUGAGUGAGACAUGGCGGGCACUUGGGAAAAAAAAACUAUUCGGAUGAGUAUCAAAAAAUACAUCCUUGCGCAAGGGUGGUUGUCCGAGCCCUUUCACAAUAAUUGAUGGAUUAAGGUUCCAUGAGAAUUUCACAAAUUCUCACUUUUCUUCUUCUUUGUUAUUCUUUAAAAGAGAAAUUCUCUUUCUCUUCCUUCCAAACUUUAGAAUAUUAGAAACUCCCACGGAACCUUUUAUUUUAUUUUUCCUUUUUUUGACUGAUUUCAUCUUUCUUUUUCUUUGUUUUCUAAACUUUAUGAUGGUUUUCUUUCCAUUUCUCACUAAUGAAUUUAAACAUUUUGUUAAAUAAAUACUCCAAUUCUAAACAUAAUACUAACUUUUUGUUUGUGUUCUCAAACACUAUCUUCACUUUUUUAAAUUGCUAGUACAAAGUGGAUAACAUAAGUUUAUUUUCAAAAAUCAAAUAUUUAUUUAAACACAUCGCUAUUAUUUAUAAUCAUUUCUAAAUUUUUUAUAAGAAACCUUCGAGCAUUGGAUCUAAGAAUCAUGUUAAACAACAAGACUCAAAGAAUAACAACCCAACAGCCGCAAAACCAAUUUGAUUUCAACCCCUAACAAACCAAAGAUUGGACAACCUUACUUGAAUACUCUAAACACUCUCUUCAAAACACUCCACAAGUAAGACUCAUCAAUCCUUACUUAAAUGCUCUAAAUAUUCAUGCAUUCUAUCACAAGAACAAAUUUCUACGUUCUAGAGUUUUCAGAUUUCAUUCAUCAUUUUUUUUUUUAAAUAUGAAAAUUACAAUCUUAUUUAUACUAAUUAAAAUAUGAAAUAAAAGUUCGCAACAUUUAAUUUUAUGUCCUUUCAACUACCAUAAUAAAUGAAAACACAUAAAUACAUAAAUGCAUAAUUCCUUAAACAUUUAAUUUUAUUACUUUUGAGUUACCCAAAUAUCUCUUCAACUUUCAAGCAUUGCAACCCUUCAACUUUCAACUUCUUCAUUGAUUCAAUUAUGAUUUCUUGAUUCAGAUCAAUUUUGGUUCUGAUGGGUGCAUUUGUAGCUUUCACUUAGCUUCAUGGAUGAAUCUAUGGAUCACUCUCGUACUAUUUGUAUGUGCUAAAAUGCUAUUUGGCUUAGUAUGGAUCAAUUAUGAGAGAAAAGAAAAGGAAACGAUUAGGGUUUUAUUUUUUUGCACUAAUCCUUAAGGUGCCAAUCACAUUCCUUUUAAGAAAAGGAAGGAAAGCUAAAUAAUCAAUAUUAAAUUCAAUUCUCAAAAGAUUUAGAUGUUGGAAUAAAUGGUUAUGAUUCUUCGUGAAUGGAUGUAUCAUGAGUGGAUGCAUCAUUUCAUGAAAAAUUGGAAUAAAUGGUUAUGACUCUUCAUGAAUGGAUGCAUCAUUUCAUGAAAAGUGUCGUUAACUAAAGGACAUGACUUUUUGGACUUUUUGAAUGGCCACAAAAAGUCUAUAAAUAAGUCAUUUUGGUUGAGAGAAAAGUACAUAGAAAAAAUCAUUUGUCUUUAAUAAACAAAUUUCUCUCCAUAUCUACAAUCUUGACGUUCGGUAGAUUCACAAGGUUUCGCUCGUAAAUCUUCUAUACAGGGUGCUACACUUAGAAGAAAGUUGAUCUGUUCUAUCCUGGGAGGCAAUUACUCUAAAUUCUCAAGCACUAGGGUGAGUAAAUUUGUCUUAAGGAUACAACGUGAAUUCGUUGAGCUCAGAUCUAUAUUUGUGUAUGAAUUUUCUAUUCACUGAUAAUAUACCUAGCAAUUGAUAAUCUAUAUAACAAUCUUAAGACAAAUUUAUAUUUCACACAUAUACAAAUUAGUUUGUUUUAUAUAUACAUAUUGUUUAGAUUUUUUUUUUUUAUCACAGUAAGCCUAUUAACUUGAAUGUGUUAAAUAUUUUUGGUUAUUCAAGUAUCUCAUUAAGAAAAUUAACUUGAUUGAUUUUAAUUAUUUCUUUUUGUUUCAAAUAUCAUAAUAAAUAUAUUAAUGGUAAGAUUUCAUCUUUAAUUAUUUGUUUAACUUUAUUUGUUUUGAAGAUAUGACUUCAACAAACUUUAAUUCUCCUGUAACUGGUGUUGCCCAUGGGGAGAAACCAGAAAAAUUUGGUGUGUGUUGAUUUCAAACGUUGGCAACAAAAAAUGUUGUUCUAUCUCACCACUUUAAAUUUGGCAAAGUUUCUCACCGAGGAUGCUCCCAUUUUACCUGAGGGAGAAUCUAACAAAGAAAAGCAACUUGCAGUUGAUGCAUGGAAACAUGCAGAAUAUCUUUGCAAGAAUUACAUUUUGAAUGGGUUAGAUAACACACUAUACAAUGUGUAUAGUAGUGUUGAUUCGGCCAAAAAUCUAUGGACUUCAUUAGAGAAGAAGUACAAAACUGAAGUUGCUGGUGCAAAGAAAUUUAUCGUUGGAAAAUUUCUGGAUUACAAAAUGGUGGACUCCAAAACUGUAAUCAGUCAGGUUCAGGAAAUCCAAGUAAUUCUACAUGAUAUACAUGUUGAGAAUAUGACUUUGAGUGAGUCUUUUCAGCUAGCAUCAAUAAUUGAAAAAUUGCCACCUCAUGGAAGGACUUCAAAAAUUAUCUCAAGCAUAAACACAAAGAGAUAAAACUUGAGGAACUUGCGAUCCGACUUGGGAUUGAAGAAAAUAAUAAAAAGGCAGAAAAGUGUACUAUGGAUAGUACAAUGGAUCCCAAGGCCAACAUUGUGGAAAAUAGACCACAAAGUAACAAGAAAAUGAAGUUUUCUAGGGAAGGUUCAAAUAACAAACCACGAUUCACAACAAAGUUCAAUGGCAAGUGUUACAACUGCAACAAAAUGGGACAUUAAUCAAAAGAUUGUCGUAAGCUAAAGAAUCUUCAGAAAAAACAUGCCCAAGCUCAUAUCACAGAAGUUGAUGAAGUAUCAGAUGGUGUUGCAGAUAUUGUCCUUUGUGCAGUCAUUUCAGAAUGCAACGUGGUGGGCAAUUCCAAGGAGUGGUGGGUAGACACUGGGGCUACUCGUCAUAUUUGUGCCAACAAGGAUAUGUUCACAUCAUAUGUGCCAGUUUCUAGUGGAGAACAACUAUUUAUGGGUAACUCCUCUACUACAAAGGUUGAGAGACAAGGCAAAGUGAUUCUUAAGAUGACCUCUGGCAAGGAACUCACUCUCAACAAUGUGCUUCAUGUUCCAGACAUUCACAAGAACUUAGUUUCUGGUUCAUUGCUUAGUAAAAAUGGCUUUAAGUUGAUCUUUGUAUCUUAUAAGUUUGUACUUUCCAAGAAUGAGAUGUACUUUGGAAAGGGUUAUUACUUGAGUGAUGGUCUAUUUAAAUUAAAUGUACUCACAGUUGUACCCAAAAGUAUUAUUAAUAAAGUAUAUACUUUUGCUUAUAUUGUUAUGUCAUUUGUUUGGCAUGGCAGAGACAUGUUAAUUUUAAUUCUUUGCGAAGACUAAUUAAUAUGAACUUGAUUCCAAAAUUCACUUUUGACACAAAUCAUUGACGUGAGGUGUGUGUGGAAUCAAAGAUGACUAAAGCACCUUUUCGUUCAACUCAUAUAAUUACCAUACCUUUAGAGUUAAUUCAUAGUGAUAUUUGUGACUUGAAAUUUGUGCAAACUAGAGGUGGAAAAAAGUACUUUAUUACUUUUAUCGAUGAUAGCACAAGAUAUUGUUAUGUUUAUCUGCUAAAAAACAAAGAUGAGGCAAUUAAAGUGUUUAAGCUUUAUAAAAAAGAGGUUGGAAAUCAACUUAGCACAAAAAUUAAGGCAAUAAGAAGUGAUCGAGGUGGUGAAUAUGGUCCUCCUUUUGAACAAUUUUGUUCACAACAUGGCAUUAUUCACCAAACUACUACUCCUUACUCACCUCAAUCCAAUGGAAUUGUUGAAUGCAAAAAUCGAACACUUAAAGAAAUGAUGAACGCAAUGCUUAUAAGUUCAGGUUUACCCCAAAAUUUGUGGGGAGAAGCUUUGUUAACAACAAAUUAUUUAUUAAACAGAAUUCCUCAUAAGAAGUCACAAAAUAUUCCUUAUGAAAAAUGGAAAGGAAGAAAACCUUCAUAUAAAUUUUUAAAAGUAUGGGGGUGCCUAGCAAAGGUUGUCGUGCCUAAACCUAAAAUGGUUAAAAUUGGACCAAGAACUGUUGAUUGCAUAUUCAUUGGUUAUGCUAGUAACAGUUGUGCAUAUCGAUUUAUAGUUCAUAAAUUAGAUAUUUCAUAUAUACAUGUUAAUACAAUCAUGGAAUCAAGGAAUGCAACAUUCUUUGAGAAUAUUUUUCCUCAUAAAAUGUUUUGUGAAGCAAGGUUACAAAAAUGUUCGUUUGAUGCUAUAACGAGUGAAUCUCACAGUAGAUCAAAUGUUGAGUUAACGAACAAUGAGGAACCCCGACGAAGUAAAAGGAUGAGGAUCUCAAAAUCAUUUGGGCCUGAUUAUUUAACUUAGUUGUUAGAAAACGAACCUCAAACAUUUAAAGAGGCCAUGUCCUCUCCUGAAGCUCCAUAUUGGAAAGAGGCUGUGAAUAGUGAAAUUCAGUCCAUUAUGCAUAACCAUACUUGGGAACUAGUUGAUCUUCCAUUAGGAAGUAAACCACUUGGUUGCAAGUGGAUUUUCAAACGAAAAUUGAAGACCGAUGGGUCAAUAGAUAAAUAUAAAGCAAGACUUGUCGCUAAAGGUUACAAGCAAAAAGAAGGACUUGACUAUUUUGAUACAUACUCACCAGUUACUCGAAUUACUUCCAUUCGCAUGCUCAUAGCAAUAUCAGCUUUGCAUGGAUUUGAGAUACAUCAGAUGGAUGUCAAGACGACAUUUUCAAACGGUGAGUUAGAUGAAGAGAUCUACAUGCAACAACCCGAAGGGUUUGUUUCUUUAGGUUACGAAAAGAAAGUCUGCAAAUUAAUUAGGUCUCUUUAUGGACUAAAACAAGCACCGAAACAAUGGCAUGAAAAAUUUGACAGUGUAAUGAUGGUCAAUGGGUUUAAAAUCAAUGAAUGUGACAAAUGUGUAUAUGUCAAAAGCAAUGAGCAUGACUAUGUCAUUGUGUGCUUAUAUGUUGAUGAUAUGCUAAUUAUAGGUAGCAAUAUCAAUAUUAUUAAGAAAACCAAACAAAUGUUGGCCAAUAAAUUUGAGAUGAAAGACAUGGGUGUCGCAGAUGUUAUUCUAGGUAUCAAAAUUUCUAGAACCCCACAAGGGUUAGUGCUAUCCCAAUCACAUUAUAUUGAUAAAAUAUUGAAGAAAUAUAAAAAACAUGAAAUUGUGAUUGCAAAGACCCCAAUUGAUGGAAGUCUCCAUUUAAGUAAAAAUAAUGGAGAUAGUAUAGCACAAUUAGAAUACUCUCGCAUCAUUGGUAGUUCAGUACAUCAUGAGUUGUACACGUCCUGAUAUAGCGUAUGCGGUAAGCAAGUUAAGUCGUUAUACAGGUAAUCCAGGUCAUGAUCAUUGGAAAGCUAUCUUGAGAGUUUUGGGAUACUUAAAGCAUACUAAAAAUUAUGGAAUACACUAUACUCGAUAUCCUGUUGUACUUGAAGGCUAUAGUGAUGUCAAUUGGAUAUCGAGCACUAAAGACUCUAAAUCCACCAGUGGUUACAUUUUUACCCUUGGAGGCGGUGCUGUUUCUUGGAAAUCUUCCAAACAAACAUGUAUAGCACGAUCCACAAUGGAAUAUGAAUUUAUAGCCUUAGACAAGGCUGGAGAAGAAGCAGAAUGACUUCGAAAUUUUUUGGAAGAUAUUCCCAAUUGGUCUAAAUCAGUGCGUUCAAUAUGUAUACAUAGUGAUAGCCAGACAGCUAUUGGAAGGGCACAGAAUAUUAUGUAUAAUGGUAAGUCUCGACAUAUACGACGGAGACAUAAUACAAUCAGACAACUACUCUCUAGUGGAAUUAUCACAAUUGACUUUGUGAGGUCAAAAGAUAAUAUAGCGGAUCCACUUACUAAAGGCCUAACUAGGGAGUUGGUUGAAAAAUCAUAAAAAAGAAUGGGAUUAAAGCCUAUAAUAUGAAGUUAUCCAGAGAGGCAACCCAACCUAGUUGACUAGAGAUCCCAAGCACUGCAUUAAAAGAUUUUCCCAUUUUACGAAUGAUGAGGUAGUGCCAGUAUAGUUUUAGGGUAAGCUUUAUGCUUUUAGUGAUUUUUGUUAGUGAUAUUUAUUAACAAAAGAACAUAUACGAUGUUCUGUACAGGAAUCACCUAUGUGAGUGUGAAGGGGCCGCUUCUGUGAGAAUUUUUAAGGCAACAUUCUCUAAAACACUCAUGAGACCAGGCGGUGUUCAAGGCCAAAACGAACACAAACAUGAGAACAAACUUUGUUAUAAUGAGAAACUGUGUGAUAUCUAUUGUUUUAGUUUACUCUUGAACGGUUGACAUGAUCAUUAGAUUGGUAAUUAAACAUUUUAAUGAUAAUAAAAAGGUAAAAUCUUAAAAGGAUAGGUAGUGAAAAAAUUAAUUAUUGUUUCACACAGCCGAACUCGUUUGACGACGACAACAAUGUGCAUGUAAUGAAAAGGUUAUACCAUCAUUAUCAACACACUUUGGAAGCUCCUUCGUAAGUAUCUAUAUAUCGUUCAACACAAAAUCUUUGAACGUGGAACAACAACCAUCUUUUUUAUUUCAAAAUAAACCUUUUCUUUUUGGUACGGGGGCUUAAGUACAAAGUUAUUCCCAAAAGCAUUUACUUUUUUCAACCAUAGCCUCUAUUAGUGUUGUUAAUAAUGCUGAUGAAAUGUCAACAUAAUGGGUUUGAAAUAAAAAUGUGCUCCUAAGUUAAGCAAAGAUAUGAUAGACAACUCAAAUUUUGUUUAUUGUAAGUGGACAAAAUAGAAACAAUAAUACAUCAACCCAUUGUAAUGUUAAUGGAAUUUUUUUAGCAAGUCUAUGCAUAGUCAACCAAUUAUUUUAUUAAUGAUCCAACUUAACUUACUUCUAUUGUGACAAUUAAUCAAGGGCUAACAACAUAAAUGGCAAAAUAAAACAUUUCAUUUUGAAAAAUAUCAAAAAUUAAAUUAAAUUAAAUUAAAUUAGAAGAAUGACAAAGUCAUUUGUAGGGUUAUUAAUUAUGAAUUAAUAAUCUAUCAAAAUAUCCCUACUUUAAAUCCUAACCACCAAAUUUUCAUUAUAAUUAAAUUCACAUAAUUUUAAAUCCUAUUAAAAUAGUUACUCAUACAAAAUUUUAAAAUUCAAAUUGUAACUAUCAAAUCUUAAUUAUAUUGCUAAAUAAUUAUGAUUAAAAAAUCUAUUAAAUUACUAUUGGAAAAGCAUAAUAUUUCUUUUAUAAAAGAACUUAAAUUACGCUUAAAAAACAAAUUUGUUGGUGAAGAAUUCAUACUCUCAACAGUUCCAAAAUCAUGAGAAUGGUAAAGGGUGUAUUUUCAAAAAUAUUACUCGGUUCAAUUUGCAAUAAUUGAGUUUGGUUGAACAUGACAAACAACAUUUUAGCAAAUACUUUGUAUUCAGAAGGGAUUUGAAAUCUUAUAGUCUUUUCACUCAACCUCGUCGUAAAUGGAUGAUAAAUCUCAUAUCUUUCUAUCAAUUGAUAAUGUUGUAGAAACUUUACAUCUCAUAAUCAUCAACUUGCUUUCUUCCUCGAAUAUAUAUUCCCAAUUGAGAUUGCACAUUGAGCUUUAUGCUUGCCACUUUUUCUUGUGUAUGAAUUAUAUGAACUCAUGUCUUACUUUAGUCCAAAUCUUUCAAUGUUUAGAUAAUAAAUUUACAAACUCACACUUACGCUCGUGCUUUAUUUUCCAUUUUCAUCUUCGUUUCAUUCAUUUGUAGUCGGAUGUCCCUCCUUGAGAUUACAUGAGUCUUGCCUAUUAGGAUCAUUUGCAAACAGUACAUUACGCAUCAAACUUUUUAUCAAUUCCACCAAGCUUUUAAUUCAAUAUCUUCACAUUCACAAAUGAUUUCAAGUUUUGAAUCAAUUAAAUAUUCACUUAAUUAAUUUAUACGAAAAAAGAAUAGAUAUGAAUUCAAAUAUUAAAUUAUAAGAUGUGAAAAUUGUUUGAAUUUUAAAAUUUAAAUCUAAUAAGAUUUAUAUGGAUUUAGUUAUAAGGUAGAUGGAUAGUAAGUUUAUUGUUUUCGAUUGUAAUUGGAUUUUUUAAAUCACUAAGAACAUUAUUGGAUUAAAAAAAUAGUAGAACACAUGCAACAAAGUUAUUUACUAUAAAUCUUAUUAAUUUUUUGUUUUGACAUCCUUCAAAUACAACUCUAAGGAUGUAGGAUUUUGAUAAUACUAUUGUAUGAUAAUAUAUGUUUAUACACGAAUAUUUGUAUGUUUAAUUUACCAAAUUGUCGUAUUUUUUUAAAACAAGUUUGAUUAGUUUUGGUUGUACAUUUUCAAUGUCUUUUAUGCAAAUCAUUUUGUACUAAUAAAUUAUUUUUUAAAAAUUCGUAUUCUAACUUCAAUACACAAAUUAUAUUUAUUUAAUUUACAAAAUCAUUCUAGUUUCCAUAAAAACAAUUUAUAGUAAUUUCUUUAAAUACGACGUUCACUUUCAACAUUUCUUUUAAUGUUGGGUUGUUACGUGUGAAUAAAUUAUAUUUUUGUUUUUUUAAUUAAUAUUCUAAAUGUAAUACACAAAUUGCUAUAUUUAACAAUUGAUUUAAACCAAUGAUUGUCACCAUAAUUUCAUUCAAACAAAACUAUAUUUAUUUAUUAUUUUUUUAAAAAAAAUCAUAUUCUAACUCCAAUACAUAAAUUUCGUAUAUUUAAUUUACCAAAUCGUCAUAGUUUUCGUAAAACAAUUUGUAGUAAUUUCUUUAAAUACAACAUCCAUUUUCAACAUUUUUUACGUAAUCGUUACGUGAGAUUAAAUUAUUAAUUUUUUUAAUUCACAUUUUAAAUUCAACACACAAAUUUCAUAUAUUUAAUUUACCAAAUCGUCUUAGUUUUCGUAAUGUAGCAGCAAAAAAGAAUACGGGUCAAAUGGUGUAAUCACAAUAAAUUACUUGAUUCAAAAGUAAAAAAUAAAAAUAAAAAUUUUAAAUUUAUGUAAUUGUUGUAAAAAUUCUGUUGAUGACGAUCAAAAUAACUUGUUGCGUUGUGAUGAAUCACUGCCCUGAAAGCAAAAUUCAGUCAGACCGUGGUGCUAAUCUUAUUGUCGAUUGCUCCCCAAAGUUAACAUAAGUUCCUACUUCUGACGUGCACUCAUCGAAAAUAGAAAUAGAAACGAUGAAGGAUUGCUCAGAACUUUGUAUCUCCGUAGGGAGGAUGAUUUAGAGAGAAAGGUAGAGAUGAGAAGGUUUUGUCCAUAAAAAUGAACCGGAGGAUGACUCUAUUUAUAAUGGAGUCCCCCUUAACUGUCAUCUGAAAAUUCGUCAAAAAAAGGGCGUGGAGGAAAGAUCGGCAACGGCGUGAAGUGUAGAAAACCGGCUAUUCAAGACGACUGUAGAAGUGGCCCGAAUUGCAAUGCGUGGCAAAACUUUUACGACUGCAUCACUAAGUGACACAUGUCGGGCACUUAGGGGAACUAAAAAACUAUUCGGAUGAGUAUAAAAAAAAUACAUCCUUAUUCGCGCAAGCGCGGUUGCCCGAGCCCACCCAUCCGACCGUACAUAUAAGAAUAUUUUAGAAAUAUAAAUGAAAAAAAAUCUUUAUUAAUGAUCUUCUCCUAUAUAAUAAUUGGGAAAUAAAAUAUGAUUUUAUUAAUUAAGAGAUAACCGCGAGAAUGUCAAAUUUUAGUAUAACAAACUGAUACGGUGUAUUUGUCAAAUAUCACAUAGUCUCAUAUACGGUGGAUUUGUAAACUACAAUCAGUUUUGGAAAAUAUUAACUAAUUUAUGAUAUUUACGUGAUUGACAAAAAAAAUUCACUAUCCCCUAAAUAUAUGUUUAUAAUUCAUAACUAAUUUUUUUAUUUUUAGUAUUUAAAUUAAUUAACAUUUAUUUAUUUAAUUCAUAAAACUUAUGUUUAAUAAAUAUUUUCCCUACAAAAUUGUUAAAAGAUUUCCAACUAUUCCUCGUUCAUUAGAAUUCAUAGUAUUUUGAAUUGAAAUAUUAUUAAAUCUAGUCUUUAAAAUAAUAUAUAGUUAUUUUAAUUUAUAUUUCAAAUUAUACACAUACUUUGAUUGAUUUUUAUUAUAAAAAAAUUAAUUUAUUGUGUCUCUUUUAUUAAAACAGUGUAUUUUAAAAAUAAUAUUUAAAUUUGGUAAACUUUAACUAAAUUUGCUAUUUUGUUGCUAGACAAGAUUGCAACAACUUCCCUUAUAAUAAUGCAAAUAUAUAUACAAGAUUUUCAAAUUUAUUAUAUUUUAAACAAUUUAUUAAAUAAUACAUAAUAUAUAUUUUUA